rnacentral:lncRNA from 1 species
UAAGAUGCAGAAAAUAAGGUAUUUAAGAUGCAGAAAAUAAGGUAGUUAAGAUGCAGAAAAUAAGGAAACACCCCACAUCACUACAGUGCAUAACAAAUCUAUCACAUAAGCACAAAGACAAACACAAAAAGGACAUAAGCUUAUUCUCAAAUUUCAGUACAUAUACUCAUCAAAAUUCAGAAUCUCACGUCACAAACCCGAGCUUAGUGCUCAAGGGUUGACAGUCAUGCCUUUUAUGCAAGAUCUAAGAAGCUAUGAUGCUCAUUAUUGUAAUGAAAAACUUUUGAAAAUUUUUGAAAUUUGAGCAAAAUUUGAAAUCCCCCAAGUUUAGACUAAACAAGCGAGCUAUUAUCCACCCUUCGCUUAAAAAAUUGCUUGGAAGUUGCCCAACAUGAGAAGAGAAAACUAUCUGAAUGUAGGCAAUCCUAUAAACAAUUAAAACAAUAGCCACAACUGAUUGAAAUCAAGUUGGAUAAACAACCAUUUGAUGAAGGGAGGGCGUUGAGCUUGUCUAAGAAAAAUAUACUCUUUAAGGGUUUAUGCCAGCAGCAGCAACAUACAUAUCCAGCUUUCCUAUAGGUAUUCCUAUUCCCUAAACUCCAAGGUCACCAAGGCCAAGAAUACGACUUCCAUCUGUCAAGACAAUCAUGUCAACCUGUAGUUUGAAGAAGAAAAUACAAUGAAGUUCAAAAAUAUAUAUAUAUCUACAAAGCAUAACAAUUAUCCCAUAGCUGAAAGAAAUAAUAUUUGUUAUGCUAUGUAUAUAAUUCACAAAUUAAUAGACCAUCAUCUCAAUGUACAAAUUGUGUGAAGCUAAGGUCUCUGAAACAACUUAAAGAGGAUUGAAGAAGAGUACCAGAAGUUUUUCAUUAGCCAUCAACCCAGGAAAUAAAUGAAGCAUCAAGCAUGUCUAAUAAACUGAACUGGGUCCUCAAUAUGUAACACAAAUUACACAAAAAUCUAGGGAGCGAGGAUAUGAUUUAGAUCCUUAAAAUACUUAGAGGUUUGAGAGAGAAUCAAAAUAACUUAUUGCAUUCACUAAAGAAAUAUAUAUACAAGAUGUUCUUUGUAAACUUAAUCCUCAGUUUAUCCAAGACCCAAUGGUUAAUUGAUUCAAUAGAUGUUCUUCUAAAAGAACCAAACUGGAAGUUUUUCAACAAAUAUGUGAGUGAUGAAACCGGAACAACAUAGCUAUCCAAAAGUGAAGUUUCCCAUCAUUUUUUUAUGGGCUUUUUCUGAUGUAUAAUGCAUAUGUUUGUUUUAUUUUAGCUCUUAAUUGUCUCGCUGUUUUAAGUUUUACAUUUGCAAGUCUCUCUUUUCUUUCUUUGGUACGGACACAAUAACCGGUGGGGUAACCUUUCUAUGGUUCUAGACUUAGUUUCUAAGUUUGACUGCUCCCUUCAGAGUGACAACAAGCCUCAUUUUCCUCCUACUAUGGAACGGGGAGGAUUCCCCCUCUUUUCAAAGCCCUCGUCAAACUCAAUGCUAAGUUUGAUUGCUCCCUUCGGAGUGACAACAAGCCUCGUUUUCCCCUAGUGUGGGACGGGGAUGAUUCCUCCUCUUUUCAAAGCCCUCAUCAAACUCGAUGCUAUGACUAGAACACUAAGAGUAGGUGGUCUGGUUUUGCUUAGGCCAUAAGUGAAGUUUCCCCUCAUUUUUUUAUGGGAUUUUUCUGAUGUAUAAUGCAUAUGUUGUUUGUUUGUUUUUUAGCUCUUAAUUGUCUCGCUGUUCUACGUUUUACAUUUGCGACCAUCUUUUUUGUUUCUUUGGUAUGCACACAAGAACCGGUGGGGUAACCUUUCUAUGGUUCUAGACUUAGUUUCUAAGUUUGACUGCUCCCUUCGGAGUGACAACAAGCCUCGUUUUCCCCUACUAUGGAACGGGGAGGAUUCCUCCUCCUUUCAAAGCCCUCGUCAAACUCAAUGCUAAGUUUGACUACUCCCUUCAGAGUGACAACAAGCCUCGUUUUCCCCCUAGUGUGGAACGGGGAGGAUUCCUACUCUUUUCAAAGCCCUCAUCAAACUCGAUGCUAUGUCUAGAACGCUAAGAGUAGGUGGUCUGGUUUUGCUUAGGCCACAAGUGAAGUUUCCCCUCAUUUUUUUAUGGGAUUUUUCUGAUGUAUAAUGCAUAUGUUGUUUGUUUGUUUUUUAGCUCUUAAUUGUCUCGAUGUUCUACGUUUUACAUUUGCAACUAUCUCUUUUGUUUCUUUGGUACGCACACAAGAACCGGUGGGGUAACCUUUCUAUGGUUCUAGACUUAGUUUCUAAGUUUGACUGCUCCCUUCGGAGUGACAACAAGCCUCGUUUUCCCCCUACUAUGGAACGGGGAGGAUUCCUCCUCUUUUCAAAGCCCUCGUCAAACUCAAUGCUAAGUUUGACUGCCCCCUUCGGAGUGACAACAAGCCUCGUUUUCCCCCUAGUGUGGAACGGGGAGGAUUCCUCCUCUUUUCAAAGCCCUUAUCAAACUCGAUGCUAUGUCUAGAACGCUAAGAGUAGGUGGUCUGGUUUUGCUUAGGCCACAAGUGAUGUUUUCCCUGAUUUUUUUAUGGGAUUUUUCUUAUGUAUAAUGCAUAUGUUGUUUGUUUUUUUUGGCUCUUAAUUGUCUCGCUAUUUUACGUUUUCUAUUUGCAACUAUCUCUUUUGUUUCUUUGUUACGCACACAAGAACCGGUGGGGUAACCUUUCUAUGGUUCUAGACUUAGUUUCUAAGUUUGACUGUUCCCUUCGGAGUGACAACAAGCCUCGUUUUCCCCUACUAUGGAACGGGGAGGAUUCCUCCUCUUUUCAAAGCCCUCGUCAAACUCAAUGCUAAGUUUGACUGCUCCCUUCGGAGUGACAAUAAGCCUCGUUUUCCCCCUAGUGUGGAACGGGGAGGAUUCCUCCUCUUUUUCAAAGCCCUCAUCAAACUCGAUGCUAUGUCUAGAACGCUAAGAGUAGGUGGCCUGGUUUUCGUUAGGCCAAAAGUGAAGUUUCCUCUCAUUUUUUUAUGGGCUUUUUCUUAUGUAUAUUGCAUAUGUUGUUUGUUUUUUUAGCUCUUAAUUGUUUCACUGUUUUAUGUUUGCAAGUCUCUCUAUUCUUUGUUUGGUAUGCAAUGUGGUAACUAGGUCUUGCUAGAACCGGUGGGCUAACCUUUCUAUGGUUCUACACUUAGUUUCUAAGUUUGACUGCUCCCUUCGAAGUGACAACAAGUUUUGUUAAUGUCCACCCUUUUCUAGAGGGAUUUAGUUCAUUGUGGCUAGACAAACGGCUCCUAACUCAUGUUAUUUGUUAAAACCAUCUCAAUUUCUAAAGAGUACCUCCUAUCCUUUUUUAACUCUAUCUAUGCUAGGUUUGGACCAAGUGCAUCAUAGGUAAGUCACAGCAACGCAACAAAGGAAGACAAAGCUAGAAAAGUAUCCAUGCAAUCAAGCAUUCACAACACACAUACCAUUUUCUCAAUCAUGCAUUCACAUCUGAACAAGAUAUCGCUAACAUCUCAAUAAGAUAUCGCUAAAAAGGGACGUAAACCAAAAAAGACGGCAGCUUAUGCUCAAAUUUCAGCACAUAUAAUCAUCAACAUUCAUAAUUUUACAUCACAAACCCAAGUUCAGUGGUCAAGGGUUGUUAGUCAUGCUUUUUAUGCAAGAUCUAAGUAAGCUAAUAAGGUAUAAUGCUCCUUAUUGUAAGGAAAUUUUUUUUAGAAAUUUAGAAAUUUGGGCAAAAUUUGAACCCCAAGUUUCGACUAAACAUGCAAGCUUUUGAAAAUCAAAGUAAAGAGAGAAAAAUAAGGGGGAACUUUGGACUCCCCUAGAAGGAUCGACGUCCUUGACUUUUGUUUGAAGCUUGCAUGGAUAAACCUCUUCAUUUCUUUUCCAUUGAUUAAUUAUCCUUGUUCCUGAAAAUCAAAGGAAAUUCUCUCAAUUUCAUUUAUUACUAAAAUUAGGAUAAUUAUAGUAACGGUAUUUUUAACUCUUUUGGUAGUUUACGUCUUGAGUGUGUUUUCAAUGGUAUUUUUAUAUAAAGUACAAAGUUUAGGGGUAUUCUGUAUAAUGGAACCUCUUUGACAAAAAAAAAAAAAAAUUUAAACCCAUGAAGUCUAACUAACCGAACACAAUUAGAUUUCUAGUAGCAGUAAUUUACCACAGAAACAGAAAUCAAAGGUUAGAAAAUAAUUUAAUGGCAUUUCUAUAAAUUUAUCACAUGAUCUUUCUUCUUCUUUUUUUUCUUUCCUUUUUUGAUAAAGCUCUAACCAUGUAGUUAAGCUUCUACCUGUAGCAGUUAAUUAAAAUAGAGACAUAAACUAUAGAUUAACAAACAAUUGGAAGGCCUCUCGAUCAAUUUAAUACACAAUAAGUUCAUACUUAUGUCUUUUUGGAAGUAUAAAAAAUGAAAAAUCGCUAUUUUCCCAAAACGAAACCUCUUCAUUCCUCUUUCGUCGAUUAUUCAUCCUUGUUCUUCAAACCUCAAGCCUUAAAAUUGAGGAAGUAGAGGAAAUUCUCUCAAUUUACUUCAAAGGAAGGAUCAUGUUCUCUCCUACAAAUGGUGUCUUUCUAAUUUUCAUAACUUUAUGACUUAAUAUGGCAGUGUUGUAUAAUGCAAAUCCAUAUAGAAGAAACACCAUUUACAGCACAGCCAAGGAAAAUGAAGAUUCAAUAUCUUUUUCAAAAAACGCUCUAUCUCAUUUGCACUUAUUUCUCUCUUCUUCUUCCACGCUCAAUGAAGAAAACCCUUAAUGAAGAAAAAAAUAAGAAAUCAACCCUAAACCCCUCAACCCAACAUCCUGGUGUGCUUUCUCAAUCUACAUCCUUCUCAAUGAAACAUACUGAUGUGCUUUCUUAAUCUACAUCCUUCUCAAAGAAAUGAAUUGAAAAAUCUCUAAAAGUUUCCUCAUCAAACAAUACCAUGCAACAAUGUUUAAAAAGGAUAGUAAAAAGGAAGAACAAUGACGUAAUGGUGUUUAAAGAGAAUGGUAAAAAGGAACAAAGAUGGUGAGAAGAAAUUUAUUUUCAACUUAACCAUGAAGAACAGUUCAACAAAAAAUAAAUAAUAAAAUAAAGGCACUUGGGAAAGCAACAAACCUGCUUCUGUAACUCAAGAAGCUGCCGCUCUUUCUCAUGAAUGUGUUCUUCAAGUUCAUGCAAAUGUUUUAUUUGCUAAGCUCUUUCAGCUUCAGAAUGAUCAUGUUCCUCCUACAAAUGAUAUGUUUCUAAUUUUCAUAACUCAAUGACUUAAUAUGGCAGUCUUGUAUAAUACAAAUCCGUAAUAGAAGAAACACCACUUACAGCAGAGCCAAGAAAAAUGAAGAUUGUGUGUAAUGUACUGCAAUAAAAUUAAAAUACUAAAGAAUGUGUUAGGAUGUUAGCGUAAGCAAAAAGUAAAAUCAAUGGCAAAAGAAGGGAAAAAUUGAAGGGCAUCAACAAAAAAUGUAAACCUUUAAGUUGCUAUUUCCUUAUCUUGUUCCUGCAGAAGAUCAUCCUUGGCCCAAGCCUAUGAAGAAAUUAUAGAAUAAAAGGGUUGGUGAAGAAAAAAACAGAUCAUUGCAAAACAUUCUUAUGCAAGCAAAUCAAGCAUGAGGGGGAAAAAAAAACACACCGCGUCGUUGUCUAAUUUAAUUGAUUGCAAUUCCCUAUCUUUAUCUUCUAUUUUCCUUUCCAGUUUGAGAAUAGCCUGGUGUCUUUCACAUAGCCUGUUCCUGUACAGCCACAAAAUGUCUCAUUGAAGUAUUAAAGUAGACCGCAUCUAAAUAGUGAUUUGCCUAAUUCUUCAAAAAUAAACAUUAAGUUUUGAGUUGUGGCAAUAUGAACUAGGAUCUCCUUUACAAUUGUGCUCUAAAGAUAUUGAAGACAAUUUAUAGAAUAAAUCAAUCUUAUUAAUGAUAAUAAUAGAAUUAGUAAUGACGAUAUUACAUAUCCUUUAAAAUUUUUUGUUAAGUGAAAAUUAUGAGGUUUCUUUCCGCUUUUGUGUGUUCUCAUGUUUAAUUGUACUUUAUCGUACCAAUUUAGAAUUUUAAAAUGUUUUUAAUUCACUAUUUGAGGCUUCAUCUUGCCUCUUCAAGUCAAAAUACCUCACAGCCUGCCUUUGUUGAGUUAUUUUCUAUUGAAUAAUAGAUUGUGUUUUCUUUUUUGGUCAAGAGACCAAAGUAGAUUAGUUUACAAUUAGAAACAAAAAGGUGGAUUUCGAUUUCCCAUAAUAAACAAUAAGAGUGGAUCACCAACAAGUCAUAAACCUACUAUCAUUUAUGUUCCACUUGAUCCAAACAUAACAAACAAAAAUGAAAGGUUUGGACUUACUUGAGAAUUAGUGUUGAAAAAAGAUAGUUGUAUGACCUUUGUUAGCAUAGGAGUAACAACUUGAAAAUGCAUCAAGAAUCUACAAAAUUAUUUAACAUUAGUAGUUAAGAAUGCAGAAAAUAAGGAAACACCCCACAUCACUACAGCGGAUAACAAAUCUGCCACAUAAGCACAAAGAUAUAAAUACUGAGAGUAUUAUUUGAAACUUAGCAAACUCAAACAGGACACUGAUUUGUAGCUAUGCCUGAGGGAAAAAUAAAUCAUGAACACUGAUUUCAACUCCAAGAUGCUUCUAAAAGGCUUGUCUUACACCGAUUGAGGCAAGUCCUUGCUAAACUUUCUCUUUCUUGUAUCUUUUUCAAAAAACGCUCUAUCUCAUUUGCACUUAUUUCUCUCUUCUUCUUCCACGCUUAAUGAAGAAAACCCUUAAUGAAGAAAAAAUAAGAAAUCAACCCUAAACCCCUCAACCCAACAUCCUGGUGUGCUUUCUCAAUCUACAUCCUCCUCAUUUUUUUUAUGACAAAUCUUUAAUUAACGAAAUUCAAGUAAAGAAUAGGUUUGCUUUCAAGUAAUCCUCUGAUUAGGUUUACCUCAUUAAAGAAUUCAUCUGCAUCUGCCCACUGUCCGCUAACUUCAUCGACACAUAAUCUUCUGUAUUAUAUUAUCCCCUUCAUCUCCGUCCUUGGAUGGCGGCAGCAAGAGCACUACCACCUGAAAAUCACAGAGACAGUUCACACUAGGCAAAACUUCCAAACUUGAAUCUUAAACUAAAAACUGUCACUACACCACCGAAAUUAAGACAAAUAAUCCAAAACCCCCAUAAUCACACCACAACACGUAAAGUACCUUCACACCCGAAUCAGACAAUCCAGAGAUGGAAUUCUCAGGAACGGUCUUCAUACCUCUCGCUUAAGUGGGUUAGAAGAGGGAGGCCCGCUUCCACCUAGCCAGCGAGGGUUUGGAAUCAGGAACCAUGGAGUCGGGAUCUGACGGUGAUGGUGGAACAAAAGGACUUUGGAAGACGAAUUGGGUUUCCGAGGGGUCUGCCGCUCUUGAUUCCGGCGCCGUUAGGGCUAGGAGAAGACGAUGGCGUGGAUCGGCAAGAUGGGCAACUCACAGAGAGCGAAAGAGAAUGAGAGAGGAAGAGGAAGUAGAGAGAGUUACCGUUGGAAGAAGGAUGGGGAAUUAUAAAAAAUAGGAUAAUUUUGAAGGAUGUAAAGAGAUUUGAGAUGAAUUUUAAAAAUUAUGACUGUUAGGACAAAUUAGUUGGAAAAAGUCUAUAUUACCCUCAAGUUAAAAAAUAUCCUCAAAUCAAUUUAUGAAUCCUCUCUUCUCCUUCUCCCUCUAUUUUUCCACUUUCUAAAAAUAUUUCAUUUUUCUCUCAUCCCUUCUUGUAUUUCAUUUUCCCUCAUUUUCACAAAAUUUCCUUUUUCUUCCUUUUCCAUUCUUUAAUUCGUUUUCUUGAAAUUCCUUUCUCAAACUCCUCCCAUGGUCUCCCACCGGCCUUUGAAAACCAUGUCGUUCCUUAUCACCUCAUUCUUUGCCUUUUUCAAGCUUCUUCCUUUCUUGAAAUCAAAUCCUCUUUCAUAGAAGUCAUUUAAGCUCUCACAGCUCGUUGUCAUGGUUGUCUCCCACUAUGUAUCAUCUUCGAUAUCUUUCUUAGUUGGACUACGUAGCCAAACAACUCGACAUCUACCACACAAUGUUUAGCGGCAUUGGAGGUUUUUGCCUAGCUUGCUAUGUCUCUCUUUGGCUCAACCUUCCUCACCGGAACGUCGUCGCCCACGACAUUCUCUGUCAGAUUUUAAAGAAGGUAUCGUUCAGCUCCAUAAGACCUAAUUGUCGACUAACAUCGCGGAAGCAAAUGGUGAAGAUGGUUGGUCGAUUUUUCAAAAUCUGUCUAUUUUAGAAACUUGCAGGUUGUUACUGUAGCUAAAAUUGAGCAAUAAUUUAAAAAUUUUGGUAGAUUUCUACCUAAUGAUGUGUAUUUAUUAGGUCUCGGAGGCCCUUGUUUUUGAUUAUUUGUUUGGAUUGGCUCACAUGGAUGGUUCUUGAUGCAUUUGUUGGUGGUGCCAUGAAUAGGAAGGGAAAGAGGGAGAGGUAGUUACCAGUCAGAUGCUCCUAAGGGACGGUUUGGUUCUCAUAGUUUGGGUCGAGGAAGUAGCCAAGAUGCCUAUGGUCAGUUGAGAGGCAACGGUUUCCCUCAGUGGUAUCACAAGGUUCAAUAGUAAUGUUAAUUUGUGGGGAAUUGAUUAUCAAGAUAAGAUGGUACUUUUCCCCCUUAGAUGGUUUUUAAGAUGCAAUUCAAGUGGAAAUUUUUUGACAUUUCAAGUACAAGCACUAGUUAGACAAUGGGAGGGAAAUAGACUUGAGAGAUGAAGACCCUUUUCAUUAAAUUUUACCCUUUUGUAGUAGUUCCGUAGUCAUUAGGUGAAUAUUGUUGCCAUUUUACAAUCAAAUAAUGUAUAAUUGAGUGAGCAUCUUGCCAAAUAAAUGAACAAUUUAGAUCCUUGAAUGCCAUUUUUUCAUCAUGCUUUAUAGUGAGAUUUCGUUAAUCAAAAUCAAUGAACAACUUGAUUUAUGAGAUGUUUGAAUUUUGAAGUUUAGUUUGAAAAAAAAAACUCAUGUGUUGUGUAUAGUUGUUUUUCAAGGAUAACGUUGGAUCAUGAUACAUGUAAGUCUUUCGAUAUGUAACAAUAUCAUAGUGGAGUAUGGAAAAAAAAUUAAGUGAAUUUAUUUUAUGUUUUAGUUAUUUUUCUAAUUUUACAAACAUAUAUAUCCCUUUUAAGUGGGUCUAUUCCGCACGCAUCUCAAACCUAUCUCACAACAUUUUGCACAUUUCAAACUUUCACUAUGAGUUUCACAAUCAAAUUGCUACCGCUUCUAAGUUAUCUCGCACACAUCUUGCACCCAUCUCGCACCUUUCUCGUACACAGGUUAAUUUGUCCUAAAUGUCCUAAAUCUUGCACCUAUCUCGCACCUAUCUCCUACCUUUUCUUCUUCUUAAUUUGCUUUCGUCAAUUUGUGCAAUUCAUUCUCAAAUCUUUCUUACUCCAUUUGUCACUGACCAUCAGGUGCAAUGGAGCAACAAAGCAAACAGCAAAGAGUGAAAGCAAAAGAAAAAGGUCAAUUCUCACAUAAUUAUUUUUAACAUUCUACUUCCACCAUAAGAAAAAUUGCCAUAACAAUUCAUGUGAAGCAUACCUUGAUCUUCAAUGCUCGAUUCUUGCAUGCUUAUCUUGAUACUCGUUUCUUAUUUUUUGAUUGCUCAACUUUAAUUUCUAUCAAUAUGAUAGAGUGGGAAUCAAGAACAAGUAGCAAAAGCGAGCAAGUGUCAAGUCAUCACGAGCUAUAACAAGAUUAAGUUGCAAGAAUCAACUAUUAAGAGUUGUCAUACAUAUUUGUUAUUGGUAAUUUCACUUAUAAUAGCAAAUGCAAAAAAAAAUCUAAAAUAUGGAUCCUUUUUAAAUUUUAAUGGAUGAUCCAUCAACAUUCGAAAUUUAUCGAACUUUGUGUCCACAAAAACAUUGUGCCAUCUAAAAAAAAUCUUAUAUACAUGACGUCCUUGAUAUUCUAAAAAAGAAAGUUUGAAGACUUCAAAUAUAUGUGUAAAUCUUAUAUACUCUAAAAGAUAUUUUCAAGGCCUAUAUACACAUAUACACAUGUACACUGUAGUCAAGUAGGCUUGGUUGGAUGUUAUUGUGACUGUACGAAAUCAAUUAGAGAACUUUGAGAUGGGUUUUUGAUGUUGUAUUGAAGUGAGUUCAAUCAAAGCUUGGAAAAAGCUUUCUUACGCGAAGGUAAGGGGGCGGUCAUACACUCAAUUGAGGGGAGUAUAAGUACAUUAUAUUGAUGGGAUCCAUACAAAGCUUGAAGAAGAGAGUAAUGUAGGAGUGAGGAGGGAGAAGUUAAAGUUAAAACUAAAGAAUAAGCUAUACAGAUAAAUACUCCAUUGUAAUUUAACUCUUUAUAAGUUGAUUUUUUUUUUCUAUUAGGGCAUACAAUCCUCCAAAUAGUAAGUAAUAUUGCACUAAACGAGUUAUGAAUAUUUUCGUCUCACAAUCUCUUUGUUCUUCUUUGAUAUUAUGUUAUUAUAUUUGUCGGCAAUUUUGUUACGCAACCAUACCCUAUUUCUUAGUCAUCUCUAAAAACAUCUCUUUUUUUCCAUAUAUUGACUUUUCUAUGUAAUUUCUUUUCAAAGUGCAUUUAAGAACUAAGUCCCGUAAUUUAAUUUGCCACUAAAACCACUUACUUGAACAAUUGAUUCAUUCGUGAGAGAAAAUUAAAAUUUAAUCGAAGGAAGAACUUUUUUUAAAAAAACAAAAAAAGAAAAAGUUAAUAUAUUUCAAAAAAAGAGUAGGUAAGAUUUAGAGAACGUGUUUUAGGUCGGUCAAAGAAAUUAUGUUUUGAUCUCGAUUAAAUUUAUUUUUUUAGUACAAUAAAGAUCAAAAGAUGUGAACUACAAUUUUUUUGGUCACAACUCAUCGACACAUUUAUAUUAUCCAUAAUAUGAUACUUAACUAUUUUACUAUUCAAAGCAAUCAAAUUUACAUAGGAAUCUUUUUGUAAGAAUGAUUUGUUCACGAGGUCUUUUACGAUUAAUAAACUCGUCCCGUCGUAAAGGAUUCUAACAUUUUUCUUACAUCAUAGUGCACUACUACAUUUUAUAACGCGAUAACCAUUCCUAUUACGGUUUUAGAUGAGAAAAAUGAAAGAAUGUGCUAGAGAUGAUCGUCAAGUUAAGGCCAUGUGUACAUUAUAAAAAGCAAUAGUGUGUUCUAAGGAUAAGUAUAAGUUUGUGAGGGAGAAGUGUUACAUGGGAAAUUAACAAAAAAAUAGGAUAAUUUUUAAGGGUUUAAAAAGUUCUAGGAUAAAUUUUAAAAAAUAUGACAUUUAAGACAAAUUAACUAGGAAAAGUCUAUAUUACCCUUUGGUUAUAAAAAAACCUAAAAAGCAAUUUAUGGAAUUCCUUCUUUUUCCUCCAUUUUCUCACUUCCAAAAAGAAUAUUUCAUUUUUCUCUCAUCUCUCCCUGUGCGUAUUCCAUUUUUCCUCAUUAUCACAAAACCUUUGAUUUCUUUUUUCUUCCUUUCCCAUUUUUCAUUCACAAAACUACAAAAACAAUGAUAGUUUCGGUGAUUUCAUUGUGGAACAUUCACAAAGAUGUGUAUGAGAUAGGUGUGCGAGAUGUGUACGAGAUAGGCUAAGAGGGAUUAAAGAAAAGUUCAAUCAGUUUACAAGCCUAGAGGAUUAAUAGUGGAGAAGAAAUGGAUGGAAGAGAAGAAACGUAGGCACCAAAAGUUGAAGGAAGGAAAAAGAAAAGAGGAAGGAGGAAAUUAAAUGAGAGUAUUUUCGUCAUUUCACCUCUAAUUUGUCCUAAAUGUCAACUUUUUUACAAUCAAUCCUAAAAAUCUUUAUCUACCUCAUCUUUUGCCUAUUUUUGUCAAUUCCCCAAGAAGGAUGGGGAAGAAAUUUGACGGGGAAUUGCCAAGAAGAGUACAAAUUUGACCACAUUUAAGACUUUUGUGACCAAAUUUUAAAAAGAAGAGUUUUGGGACAAAUGGGUAUGUGAAAUAUCUAAAUUACCCUUUAGUUUAAAAAAGCUCUAAAAUUUUGAAACCCACGAUUUCUCCUCACGCAACACAUAUUAUGCUGCUCGCAGGUGACUCCAUUUACAGAGAUAACAAAUCCCAACCAACAAACGGAGACAAUCGAUCAGAUGGAGUGGCGAUGACUUGGGUAGCAACGACAUCUAUUGGGCGACUUGGACAACAACAACAAUUUCUAUGGAUUGUGUGUCAACAAUUUCUAUAUCUUUCUUUACAUAGAUUUUUUUCCUCAUUUUUAUUGCUUAUAUGUUACUUAUGUAUACCAGGUAGGAAAUUUGGUUGCUCUAGUUGAAGAUUGGACAACUAGUGGAAAGCAAGUAUCAAACAACGCUUGAUGGCUUAUUAAAAGCAAAAGAUAUGGACACACAUGGUGUAAUUAGCUUUAGGGUAGGCAUUACAGAAACUGGAGUUAUUGUUUUGUAUUUAUAUUGAACUUAUGUCGAACCAUUUAAUUGUAUUCUUGAAGUUGAUCAUUUGUGAUAUAGAUAUUAUAAUCGAUGUAGUUGAGAAGAAUUUUGUUCUUUCAUUAUCUUUAAUGUAUUAUUCCAACCCUUACUAGAUAGGUGCGAGAUGUGUACGAGACAGUAGGGAUAACAAUUUGAUUUUGAAAUUAUUAGUAAAAGUUUUGAAAAUGUGCAAGAUAGGUGUGAGAUGUGUACGAGAUAGGUGCGAGAUGUGUACGAGAUGUGUACGAGAUAGGCUAAAAGGGAUUAAAGAAAAGUUCAAUCAGUUUACAAGCCUAGAGGAUUAAUAGUGGAGAGUUGUGGAGAAGAAAUUGAUGGAAGUGGAAAAGAAAUGGACGGAAGAGAAGAAACAUUCACCGGAGGCACCAAAAGUUGAAGGAAGGAAAAAGGAAAGAGGAAGGAGGAAAUUAAAUGAGGGUAUUUUCGUCAUUUUACUUCUAAUUUAUCCUAAAUGUCAACUUUUUUACAAUCAAUCCUAAAAAUCUUUAUCUACCCAUUUUUGGCCUAUUUUUGUCAAUUCCCCAACUUUGACGGAGAGGGUUUUGUAUAAAAGGCAAUAAUAAUAAUUCCUAUUCUUUUUAAUAUUAUUUAUUAAUAAAAAUAAUUAAAAGUUUAAAUAAUCCAUCACACAUAUACUUCUUAUCAGUUAUUAGAAUUAAAAAAAAAAAGUCAACAAAUAAAAUUUAUAAAAUUAUCAUACAUCAAGAACAAAAAAAAAUACAUUUGUGAAAUAAAAAAAAAUGUAUAAAAGAUAAAAAAUGAAUCACCUUAAUUUUAAUAAUAUUUUAUAUCUUAUCUCGAAAGAUAUAAAAAAUAUUAAAAUGUAUCUAUCUCGAAAUAGGUUUUCAACUACGUCCCAAGUGGAAUAAAAAAUUGUUACCAAACUCUUAAAUAUAGAAUUUCAUAAUCUCUCCAUAAUUUGUAUGUUAGUAUGAGUUUGUAGGGUGUGUUUGUCCCAUGAAGUUAGAAGUAGUGUAUAAAAGUUGAAGUUGUAAAAUCCAGUUCUUGUUUGACUUAAAUAGUUGGCGGAUCAUUAUUAGAAAUUUAAUUCUAAGCACUCUACUUGUCCAACAUUACAAUUUAUUCAAUUAGAUAGUUAAAAAAAAUGACGUCACAAGGUUCUUUAUUAAUGUCCCUACAAUUCCUUCUUCCAUCUAAUGCUACAAAUAUGAACAAUCAGCAUUCACGAAAGGACAAAAAUUGAACUACAUACAGUACAACAAGAAAACAGAUAAAGUCAAAGCCAAAGUACAUUGUAUUGAUGCCAAACUUGUUUACGAAGCUCAUGAAAUAGAAGUUGAUGCAGACCAUUGGUUGUUUCACACCAACUACUUUUCUAUAGAAAAAUAGCUUACCCAUAAAUUAAGAGACAAUAACCGAGGAGAGCAUAGAAGUUGGAAGGUAUUUACAUUGUUGUUGAUGCAAAGAGAUAGUAAGCAGAGGUUGUUAGAGGAUGUGGAACUUAAGAUCUACAGUAUGGUGGAUAAAUUAUUUGGGUCAACAGUAAUAUUUCAGAGUUUGGAAUGGUGAAAAGAGUUUAUAUACUGUGAUAUUCCAUUCAAUGCACUUACCAUAAAAACGAGGUAGAAGAAAGGAAGAAGAAAGACUAACCUUGAAUCAUUAGCUUCAAGUGUCUAACAGUAGCAGAGGAUGGGCUGGUAGACGACGAACCCUAAGCAAAACCAAUGUGGACGACGGUGAGAGAUCAGCAUGUUGUUGUGAAACAAUCGUGAGAGGCAGGGUAUCGCAGUCGUCGUGUUGGGUUUCAACGUGGCUUUCGUAGUCGUGCUAGAGCGCACUAGAGAGCAAAAUGAAUUAGAUUGAAAGAGGCCGAAAAUGGGGGAAAAUAUUUAGAGGGAACUUAAAUAUUUAUUUCCCGCUUUUUCUUUGUUGUUCUUUUCCACAUCCCAUUUAAAAUAAUGGGCUAUUAAAAGUUCAUUUUGGUGUAGUGCUAUUUGUGUCUCGAUCGUCCAUUUUCGUUCAAACUACUUUAAAGAUACAAGUAUGAUAACCAACAACACGAUCGAAAGAAUUGGUCUAUGCAACUUCAACCUACGUGGCUUUAUCAGGUUCACACACACAAUGAGUGACUUUCCUUCGUUUGGAUCCAUUUCGAAAAUUGUACUCUAUGGCCCAAAAUGAAAGGCCCAUCGUCUAUUUACUCAAAUCCUAGCAAUAAUUUAUUCUCACUUAAAAUUUUAAACGUAUAUGGAAAGUCCACAAUGCUCGACCCAAAAUUAACUUAUAAAAAUACCAAACCAUAGUCUUGCCUAUUUGGUAGUUAAUUUGAGUCUCAAAGCCCGACCCCAAUUACAAGAACACUCUCUCAUGAGAGACCCCAUUAUAAGAACACAUUCUCAAAGUUUUUAACCACUCACAUUUUUUAUCCACUCUCCAACUAGAUAAUACAGAAGGAAUUUAAUUAGAGUAAUCACACUAAAACUUAAAAUGUUUAUAAGUGAGAAUUUCUAAAUAAAUGAAAUAGGUUUCUUUUAUAGUCUUUGAGUCAAACUUUUCUAUAAAAAAAAUGGAUGUGAGAUAACCACAUCUUGCCAAACCCAAUACUUAAAAACAAACAAAUCAAAUCAUUAUUUUUACAAAAAAAAAAAAAACUAAAAAAAUGCAAGUCGAUUCCUAUUUAUUAAAAUAAUAAAGAAAACCAGUUACCAAAAUAUGAAAUUUGUUUUUAAAAAAUCUACAUCUAAAGAUCUACCAUAUUCAUAAAUUAAUAAUUCUUGUGUGAUUUCACAUUGAGAUCAUAAAUAACUUAAAAUUACCAUGUCGAAGGAAAUUUUUUUCGACAAGAGCCUAACUUAUAAAGGAAUGAUGGAAAAUAAUAUGGUGCAACCUUCAAAACAACAUAAAUAAGAAAAUAUUGCAACAUAGUUAGCAAAUAAGAGAGAAAGAGAAUGUAACCUGAAAAGGAAGUUUAUGAUUAAUUUCAUAAUUGUUGUGGUUUUGUCCAUGAUCUCUUUAAUAUUUUCUAUUAUCUUCAUUGCACUCCUAGUAAUUGAUACCCUUAGGCAACCACGGCUCAACAUCCUUCUUACAAAAAAAAUAGGCAAAAGACGAGGGGGCUUGUAGAGGUUAAUAAAAAAAAGGGGCAGAAUAGUAAAGGAUAAUGAAAACACAAAGAAAUGUAAUUACAGGGCGAACUUUUUGUGGGAGAAAUGGUAGAAUAAUUUGUAGAAAUUUGAUCGUCUUUUUUAUGUGAAGAAGACAAGAAGAACAAAGGAUAACAUAAAAGCAAAUUAGAAAUUCGUGGAGUUAUUACGGGAAAAACUAGCUCUGAGAGAAAGCUUGAAGAGAGAAAAUAAAUGAAAGGUACUCUGAUUUUGUGGACAAUGGCAAUCCACAACUCUCUUGUACAUUAUUUAAAAUAGAAAAUAGAAACUAGAACAUGAACCCCAUUGAUAAAUAAACCGCUAGCCUAACAAAAACCGUAAACCCCGAAUCCCUAACCCCUAAACCCCUUUGCUAUAGUAAAUGGUAUUUAAAAAUCUCAAAUUAACUAUCUUAAACACUAUUUCAAAUCCUCAAUUUCCUAUAAUAUUUAUUAUUUACUACGAUAUUUGUUAAAUUAUUUUUUUGUGAAGUUACAAAACUAUACUUGUUGAAAUACUUUGAAAAUUAUUCAAAAGAGAUGGAAAAAAAAAAGAUGCAGUGGAAAAUACAUCCACGUAUAUUUUCACAAUUUCAAAAUUAAUUUGACUAAAUACAAUUUAAUUUAGUCAAACCCUAAACCCUAGACCCGUAAACCCCUAAACAAACUCUUUUGUGAAUGAUAUCUUUGCGCCUAUAGCUCCUUUGACCGGAGUUAUCCCCUUUCCUCUCAUACUCUACUAGACUCUAUAAACUCCUAAUACUAGGAUUUUCAUAAUUCGAGAUCCGAACAAGGAGUUAGCUAUUUUAGUCAACUCCCUUCCUUGCAAAUCUGGACCCAAACACCCCAACAUGGUAACAAACGACUAUAAAAAAAAAAAAAAGUAAUAUCCACAAAAAUAGACAUGGUCCAAAUUCGAAAAAUACCUGUUUCUUGGUGAUGGAAUGGAGGGUUUGAGAGUGAUUGUGGUGUCCCCAUAGUUAGCAACCAUAUUGGUGGAGAUCAAGUAUUUGGUGUAAGUUAACAGAAGGUAUGAAGUAGAUGUUACAUAUUGCAUAUUACUGUCGCUCAUUCUGAACAGCAACCCUCCUUCACAAAACGGUAGGGGGAAGGGGUUAAACUUCAUUUUCUUUUUACCAUUUUACCGAUAAUAAAAAUAAAAAAGUAGUCGUUGAUCAUCAAAAUAAAAAAAGACAUGGAGUGUAUUUGGGGCAGGAGAAUGAUUCUCCGAGAAUGAUAAAGCAAAUGGCGCUGUUGUUGGGGGUUCUUGGCACGGUGUAGGAACUUUAGUUGAACCUUGCUGAAACUUUUGUUAGUUAAACAAUUGAAAGCAUAUUUUUAUUUUUACAAUAAUAGCAGCCAUACACACAUAUAUAAUAAAAGUUUUACAUAUUCUUAUCUCUUGAAUUUAUCUUUUCUUAAAUAGUACCAUAUAGAAGAGAAAAUAUAAAAAGAUCGCAUGCUCCCUUUUCCUCUUCUUGCUUAUAGUUUUGCACGAUCUUUACUCUCUCCUUGGUUUUUGAUGCAUGUCUUCUGCUCUAAAUAACAUAGAAAAUUUUGAAGACAUGAUAUGAUUAAAUAAAGAAGAUUAAGAAGAAGAAGAAAGAAACUUAAAAGAUAAAUUAGUUUAGGGCAAAACAAUCUUCAAGAAGAUCCACCCUUAGAAACACAUACCUGAAACCGAAACUUGAAACAGAACCUUGAAACCUAAACCUUGAACCCCAACAAACGAACCACAAAACCCCAAACCUUCAAACCCCAAAACUCCUAAACCCAAAACUUGAAACUCCAAACGCUCCAUCCCGAUGCUCGAAAUCACGAACCUCGAACCGAUCCAUGCACCCUAAACCCCGAAACCUGAAACCCUAAAAUCCAAACCCCCAAACCCCAAAACUUCUAAACCCAAAAAACCUCAAAACCUCAAACGCUCCACCCCGGAGCCUGAAAUCACAAACCCCAAAUCGAUCCAUACAUCUUAAACCCCGAAACCUAAAACACGAAACCCUAAAUCCCUAAAAACCGUAAACCGUAAACAAUAAACCCUAAACUUUAGCCCCUAAACCAUAAACCCUAAAGUACCCCAAAACCACAAACCUCGAAAGCUCGAAAGCUCGAAAAGUCUAAACCUUGAAACCUAAAACCCCUAACCAACCCUCAAACCUCCAAACCCCCAACCCCCAAACCCAAAAACCUCGAAACCUGAAACUUGAAAACCGAAACGCUCUACCCUGAGACCUGAAAUCCAACGAACUCCCAUAACCCUGAAAACCCCUAAAAACCUAAAACCGUAAACCAUAAAUCCUAAAUUUUAACCCUUAAACCAUAAACCCUAAAGUAACCAAAGUACCAAACCACGAACCACGAACCCCGAACCCCAAACCACGAACCCUGAACCCCAAACCCCAAUCCCCAAUCUCGAAACUCGAACCCUAAAAUCCUAAACACUAAACCCUAAAGUACCUUUAACCUCAAACCCCAAACCCCGAACCUUGAACGUCGAACCUCCAACCUUGAACCCUGAAACGAAACCUAAAACCCAAAAACUACAAACCUCGAAACCCAACCCACAAACCUUCAAACCCAACCCCAAACCUUCCAACCCCAAACCUCCAAACCCCAAACCCAACCCUGAAAAUCGAUAUCUAAAACCUGUAAUCCUAACUUCAAACUUUGUUGGUGGAGAUAACAAUUUCUAUUAUUUAGGGAGUAUCUAUGCAUUUUGCAUUAUGGAUUGGUUAGAAAUUUUUAGUUUCUUAUUAUGAUUCGAAUUACAUGCAUUUUGGGUAUCAAACUUUGAUUAAUAUUGGUCAUCGUCUCAGAAUCUAAUAACACACAACCCUAUAACUCUAACCUAAACCCUAAACCCUGAAACCCCAAACGCUCCACCCUGAAUCCCAAAAUCACGAACACUGAACCAAUCCAUGCACCUUAAACCUCGAAACCUAAAACCCUAAACCCUAAACCCCUAAAAAACCGUAAACCAUAAAUCCUAAACUUUUAACCCCUAAACCGUAAAACCUAAAGUAACCCAACCACGCAACCCGAACCAACCCGAACCCAAAAUCCUAAAUAAUAAACCCUAAAGUACCCCAAACCCAAACCCCGAACCUCGAACCCGAACCUUGAACCCAGAACGUGAAACCUAUAAUCCCAAAACCACAAACUUCGAAACCUCGAAAAGUCUAAACCUUGAAACCCAAAACCUCUAUACCCAAACCCAAAACCUUCCAACCCUCAACCCCCCCAAACCCCAAAACCUCAAAACCUCGAAAAGUCUAAACCUCGAAACCCAACCCCAACCUCUCAAACCUUCCAACCCUUAACCCCUAAACCUUCCAACACCCAAACCUCCAAACUCCCAACCCACCACACAAAACCCUAAACACCAAAACUCAAAAUCUGAAACCUGAAAUCCUAACUUCAAACUUUGUUGGUGGAGAUAACAAUUUCUAUUAUUUAGGGAAUAUCUAUGUAUUUUGUAUUAUGGAUUGGUUUGAAAUUUUAAGUUUCUUAUUAUGAUUCGAAUUACAUGCAUUUUGGGUAUCAAACUUUAAUUAAUAUUGGUCAUCGUCUCGAAAUCUAAUAACACACAGCCUUAAAACUCUACCCUCAACCCUAAACCCUGAAACCCCAAACGCACCACCCCAAAGCCCAAAAUCACGAACCUCGAACCAGUUCAUGCACCCUAAACCCAAAAAUUGAAACCGUAAAUCCCAAAUCCUCUAAACCCCUAAACUCCUAAACCUCAAAACUCCUAAAUCCGAAAUCCGAAACCUGUAAUCCUAACUUCAAACUUUUUUUGGUGGAGAUAAAAAUUUUUAUUAUUUAGGGAAUAUUCAUGGAUUUAGUUUGAAAUAUUGAGUUUUUUAUUAUGAUUCGAAUUACAUGCAUUUUGGGUAUCAAACUGUUGUUUAAUAUUGGUCAUCGUCUCAGAAUCUAAUAACACCCAGCCCUAUAACUCUAACCUAAACCCCAAACACUCCACCCAAAUCUCGAAAUCACGAACCCCGAACCGAUCCAUGCACCCUAAACCAGAAAUCUGAAAUCGCAAACCAUAAAUCCUAAACUUUAACCCCUAAAUCAUACACCCCAAAGUACCCCAAACCUCAAACCACGAACCCCAAACCUCAAUCCCGAAACUGGAACCCAAAGUCCUAAACACUAAACCCUAAAUACCCCUAACCCUGAACCCUAAACCUCGAACCUCGAACCUCGAACCUUGAACCUGAAACCCUGAAGCCAAAACCACCAACCUCGAAACCUCGAAAAGUCCAAACCUCGAAACCCAAACCGCAAACCUUCCAACCCUCAAACCCCAACCCCAACCCCAACCCAAACUCCAAAACCCCAAACCUCAAAAGUUCGAAAACCUAAACCUCGAAACCCAACCCCUACCUCUCAAACCAUCAAACCCUAAACCCUAAACCCUAAACCCUAAACCCAAAACCACAAAACCCCAAAACGACCAAACAAUCCUUAAGUGUAAGUUCGUAACUCACAAACUAACAAAAAGUUCAAAAUGUGUGAAAAUGCACUUUGAGACCUAAAAUGGCAACCAAGUAUGCAAGUGAAACAAACCUAGUCUUAAACAAAUCUAAAAUUUGUUCAAACUAUGUUUAAGUAUCACUUGAACUUUCAGAACGACCUAAGAACGUUUACUUGUAAGUUUGUCACUCAUAACCUACCAAAAAAUUCAAAAAGUACGGAAAAGAAAAAAACACUACAGGACCCAAAAUGGCAACCAAGUGUGCAAGUGCAACAAACUUAGUUCCAAACGAACCUAAAAAGUGGUCAAGGCGUGUCUAAGUAUUACUUGGACUUUCAAAACGACCUAACAAAGCUUAAGUGUAAGUUGGUAACCCAUAGCCUACCAAAAAGUUCAAAAAGUGUGAAAAGGGCACUUCAAGACCCAAAAUGGCAACCAGGUGGGUAAGGUCAACAAACUUAGUUUCAAACCAACCUACAACGAGUUCAAAACGUGUCUCAGUAUCACUUGAACUUUUAAAACGACCUAAAAAUCUUACGUGUAGGUUCGUAACUCAUAACCUACCAAAAAAGUUCAACUAGUGUGAAAAAAGCACUACAAGACCCAAAAUGGCAACCAAGUGUGCAAGUGCAAUAAACUUAGUGCAAACCAAGCUAAAACGUGCUCAAAACGUGUCUAGGUAUUACUUGAGUUUUCAAAAUGACCUAGCAAAUCCUAAGUGUAAGUUUGUAACUCAUAAUCUACCAAAAAGGUUGAAAAAAGAAUUUCAAGAACAAAAAUGACAACCAAGUGUGUAAGUGCAACAAACGCAAUCUAGCCUAAAAUGUAAUCAAAAUGUGUGUAAGCAUCACUUGAAUUUUCAAAACGACCAAACAAUGCUUAAAAUGUAAGUUUGUAACUCACAACCUACCAAAAUUUCAAAAAGUGUGAAAAAAGUACUUCAAGACCCAAAACGGAAACGAAGUAUCUAAGUGCAACGAACUUAGUUUCAAGCCAUCCUAAAAAGAGGUCAAAACGUGUCUAAGCUUUCAAACCGACCAAACAAUACUCAAGCGUAAGUUCGUAACUCACAACCUACAAAAAUUUCAAAAAGUGUGAAAAAAAAGCACUUCAAGACCCAACAUGUCAACCAAAUGUGUAACAAACAUAGUUCCAAACAAACACAAAAUGUGUUUAAAAGGACCUAACAAUGCUUAAGUGUAAGUUCGUAACUCAUAAACUAACAAAAAGUUCAAAAUGCUUGUGAAACAAGUAUGCAAGUGAAACAAACUUAGUCUUAAACAAAUCUAAAAAAUUUCAACGUGUUUAAGUAUCACUUGAACUUUCAGAACAACCUAAGAAUGUUUAUUUGUAAGUUCGUCACUCAUAACCUACCAAAAAGUUCAAAAAGUAUGGAAAAAAAAAACACUCGAGGAUCCAAAAUGGCAACCAAGUGUGCAAGUGCAACAAACUUAGUUCCAAACCAACCUAAAAAGUGGUCAAGGCGUGUCUAAGUAUCACUUGGACUUUCAAAACGAUCUAAGAAAGCUUAAGUGUAAUUUGGUAACCCAUAGCCUACCAAAAAGUUCAAAAAGUGUGAAAACAGCACGUCAAGACCCAAAAUGGCAACCAAGUGGGUAGGUCAAUAAACUUAGUUUCAAACCAACCUAAAACGAGUUCAAAACGUGUCUAAGUAUCACUUGAACUUUCAAAAGGAUCUAAAAAAGCUUAUGUGUAGGUUCGUAACUAAUAAGCUACCAAAAAGUUCAAAAAGUGUGAAAAGAGCACUUGAAGACCCAAAAUGACAACCAAGUAUGUAAGUGCAACAAACUCAAUCUAACCUAAAAUGUAUUCAAAACGUGUGUAAGUAUCACUUGAACUUUCAAAACGACCAAACAAUGCUUAAGUAUAAGUUUGUAACUCACAAAGCCUACCAAAAUUUCAAAAAGUGUGAAAAAAGCACUUCCAUGACCCAAAAUGGCAACCAAGUGCACAAGUGCAACAAACUUAGUUCCAAACCAACCUAAAAAGUGAUCAAGGUGUGUCGAAGUAUCACUUGGACUUUGAAAACAAUCUAGCAAAGCUUAAGUGUAAGUUGGUAAUGAUAGAACUAAGACAUGCACAGCAGAAAAAAGAAUCGAAUUUCUACCCUAAUUGCCACAAUUAACAUGUAACCCUAAACUAAUCAAGUUAGGGUUUUAGGAAAUAUUACCUUUGAAGCUUUCAAAAAACUUUGAUACCUUCUUGUCAAUUCAAACCGAGACCACCACUAGUACUCAACUACUAUUCUCUUGGACAAAGAACCGGGUUGUGGGACCCAAUUUGGUGUAGAAAGAAAUGAAGAUAAAAUGGAAUUGGAAGGUAGAAAUUUUUUUCUUUUGUUGAGAUGUUGGAGGAUAAUAAAAAAGGCAAAAGUCUUCAACAAUUUGAAAACUCCCCUAUUAUCCUAAUUACAUGCAAAAAUGCAUGUAGUUAAUUUGCCAAAUCUCAACACCUAAUGUUCCACUAACAAUUAGUGGAACUUAGUGGGCUAGGUGUCUAUAUCUAUAGCCACAUAUCCCACUAAGAGUUAGUGGGAUUAUCCAACAAAAAUGUUGGAUUUUGUCACUAACUUAGUCCAAGGGUAAAAUGGUCAUUAAAUAUUUCAAGUCAAAAGUCAAACUUUGACUUUUCUUAGUCAAAAGUCAACAUUUUGACUUUUUACUAUUUUUGACUAAUUCCAUCAAUUCCGAGCUUCUUAGUAUGAAUCCGCAUUCAUACUUAUAGUAUGUAAAACAUAAAGCUCUAUUUCUAAUUAGAAAGCUCUAUUUCUAAUUAGAAGACCGACAACUAUAUCACUAUAUUUGUCGGUUUCUCUUUCUUCUUCCAAUUCGAACAAUUCGAUUUAUUUCAUCACACUGUUCUAAGUUUAAUCCAUAUGAGCUAGCAGGGGAACCUAAUGGACCUAUAGAUCAUGGCCUCCAACGAUUCAAGAUUAACUAGCCAAACUCUUUUAGACCGAGUUAAUCAACAUUCGUUAACUAACGGGUCAUUCCACUAAAGUCCCGUAGUUGCACUCCCCUCACUAUAGAUAUAUGUGUGUCCAUUUGAUAAAACCAUAAUCAGUAAGUUAAUCCUUCACAGGUUGCUCGUAACCUUGGCUGGGUCAAAAAUACCGUUUUACCCCCCAAGAUUACAUUUUGGCUUCUUAAGUCCCACUAAUCCACUAUUGAACAAUUGGUUUAAGGUUCAACCUAUAAACUUAAUCCCUCUCGCGGCGCAAUGAGAGGGUGGGGGCCCCUUGUUCAAGACUUGGAUUCAGUGCUUAAGAGAACAACCUAUCUACUAAACCUAAAGCGGGUAGGAGUGAAUUCCAUCUUGUACCCUAUGUUCCCAGUUAUCCACUAGAUCUUACCCCUGAAAUGGGAGGCUUAUUGGGUCAACCCUGAUGAGCUGCCCUCAUCUAUGCAGAUCUAAGGAUAAUCUCGUGUGAACAGGAGUUCAUAGUUAACUCAGAAUUAAGAUUAAGUUACCUAGGUCAUCAAUAAUCGAGAUAGUCAGUUUUAAACAGUAAACGGUGUUAUAACGUAAAAAAGACUAAUUCAUGGUUUAGUCUUAUGUAAACACUUUACAUAGGAUGCCCCCACUUUCAUGUCUCUACAUGAACGAUUCAGGAUCACCUCGUUUGUACUACAAAGUGGGCCGCAUCCAUAGUUUCUCUAAAUAAGGCGCCCAACCUUUAUUCAUAUACUAUAGACUAUUUAGGCUAUAUAUACUCGAACUUGAUCCACGUUUAUAUUUACACAUAAAGUUCAAGUUUAUUCAAAAAAUAGCCUUGGAACUUGAUUUAUUGGAUUUAGGAUUAUUUAAUUUCUCAAUAACAACUUUAUUGAAACAAAAUAUGAUUACAAACUACGAGUUUUAGGACAAAAAAUUCCAACAGGUAACUCAUAGCCUACCAAAAAGUUCAAAAAGUGUGAAAAGAGCACUUUAAGACCAAAAUGACAACCAAGUGAGUAAGGUCAACAAACUUAGUUUCAAACCAACCUAAAACAAGUUCAAAACGUGUCUAAGUAUCACUUGAAUUUUCAAAACGACCUAAGAAAGCUUACGUGUAGGUUCGUAACUCAUAAGCUACCAAAAAGUUCAAAAAGUGUGAAAAGAGCACUUCAAGAUGACAACCAAGUGUGUAAGUGCAACAAACUUAGUAUCAAACCAACCUAAAACGUGCUCAAAACGUGUCUAGGUAUUACUUGAGUUUUUAAAACGACCUAGCAACUCUUAAGUUCUUCUGCCUUCUCCUUCAACGCUUAGACAGAUUGUUGAAAUUCUGUGUUUCUGCAAUGUUUCCCAGAACAUGAAACAUUCGUUACAGAAAUAAAUACCAUGAAUACAAACCGUGAAGAAACAGUAAAAAACAGUCAAUACAAGAAGCAAGUGGAAACUCAGAAGUUUCAUAUUUCAUCAGGAUGAUUUUCAUUCUGAUUGUCUAAUAUUCAACUCUAAUUACAUAAGGUGCAUUAGUGUGUAAGCAAAGACGGAAACAAAAGAAACAUAACUCACAUUACCGCCUUCUCUAAUUGAUCCAUUUGCAUCACGUAUGCAGUAGACCUGUUGCGUUUGGAACUGUUGAAAUUCAAUAAAAAGGAGUUAACAUCAUCUCAUCCUACAAAACAAAAUCCACAACUAUAGAAUAAAGAUUGUCAGAGCAUACAACUACAAUGAUAAUGGGAGUGCUUCCCAUCAUCUUGGUCUCUCGCACCUCAACAUCUGAAAUGUGCAGAAUCUGUUUAUUAUAACAGAAAUAAUUACUUUUAAGUCAUAGAAAAAAGCCUUACAUUAAUUAGAAUACCAUCCACCUAUCAAGGUGUGUACAGACCUCAAACAAUAGCCAAAGCACAAGGGGUGUGUUUAAUGCAAUUAUGAACCCUUCAAUAUAAAAAAAAUGAUUAAUAAUAAAAUACUCAGAUGUUUUCUUUCACUCUCGUACUAUUGUUUAAGUGCUUCUUGGUCAAGCACCUAGACCAAAAGGCUAUCUAUGAGCGUUUUCUAGUUUCUGAAAAAAGAAAUACUCUAAUGUGUGGUCGUACUAGCAUAAACAGUCGUAGAUAAUUAUGAGAUGAUACCCUUCGUAAUGGGAUAAGAUAAUACUUACUAUUAUUUAGUAUUUUCUUUUAUUUAAUUGAAGAAAUAAUUGGAAAAUAAAACAGAAAGUACAAAAAUGAGUAAUAACCCCUAGUAGAGACCAAUACGAUUCAAUUCAACAUUUUGUUUGGUCUCUCGACAUGAUGAUAAUUUUUACCUAGAGUGCUUUUGCUUUACCUAGAGUGCUUCUAGGCCAUAAUGCAAUUAUUAACACGUGACAGAGUUCCCACAUAUGACUUUAUUCUCUCAUUGUUGCCCAUUAUGUAAAGUUGUCGAUGAAACACCAGCCAGUUUAUUAGUUGCCAUUUUGCUGAAAAAUUUAGGAAGCAGAUCUAUCUCUCCUUUGGUUAAUGCCACCCUAUGAAACAAAUAUUAUGAACCUUCUUUUAUGCACCCUCACUGGCACUCUUUACUGACUUUAAAAGAAUUAUGUGGAUGCAUCUUAUUCGGAAAUUUUUACAAAUUCGCAUGGAAGGAACAUGAACAAUCGCCUCCUUAGUGAAAAGGCAUGCCUUAAGAUAGGUUUUUUAUUCUUUUUAAAAUAUAAUCUAUCCUGCUAUGACUUAGUGCAAUUUUUCAUGUCUCUAUAGCUAUUCCAAUCUCUAUUCUUGCAUCUCUUCUGACUGAUUGGAGAAAUCUCUUGUAAACUCUAUUGGCGUGGGUGUUCCACCAAACCUUUUGUAAAUUUCAUACAUCAAUAAAAUUACUUCUUAUAAAAAAAAAAUAAGGGGAAGAAACUACGUUUUAGAGACAGAUGGCUCUAAAGCACAUACAAACAAUCUCCAUCUCACUCUCUAUCUGCCCUGUUUCCAAUUUAAUCCGACAUUCAUUUGAGGUUAUUGUAGGUUCAUAUUUAGAAAUAGUCAUUCAUGUUGUGAUGCAAAAUCCUUUUUAUGUAUCUAAAACUAAAAUCACGAAAAUCAUCGUGGACAUGCAGCACAACAAACUAAAUUUUCACGGGAAGCCUUUGCUAACAAAAUCAUAGACAAUAAUUACUCAAACAAGAGAGAAAGACUAUAAUUAAUUAACAGAAGUACAAAUCAAUAUAGGUGCACAACCACCAAGCAAGAGAGAAGAAACAAUAAACUUCAAUAACAAAAGAAAGGUAGUAUCAGGACUAUCCUUACUUGUUAUCGAAGAAGAUACCUUGGCCCUGGUAAGCCCGAUACUCUUCCAUACAACGUUCAAUUACCUCAGUACUACAGCGUUUUUUUCAAAGUUUGGGAAUCUACCUAAAACAUAAAUAUAUAUUACAACUUGAAAACCUCCAUGUCAGAAACUUUACUUUAAUUAUCAAACCAGAUGCUAUGCAAGAAUUAGUUAGCAGAAAUACAACAUAAAUAGUAAUGAUAUUCUUUGGGGAGGGGAUAAAAGCAUCUUUCAUCUUAGAAAUAAGCUUAGCAGUUAGCAUUAACCUUUAUAUUUUGAUUACGUCUUAAACUUCAUCUACAAAAUCUGGUAAACAGAAAGACCUAAUCCAUAAUGCUAAAGAGGAAAAGACCAAGUCAGAUUCCUUUAUUCAAACAGGUUAGUAUCACAGCUCCAAAAGGAAAAAACUUACGGAUCUCUACGACGAAUUCCUUGAAUGAUGUAGCAGCAUCUGAUGCUUGAAACACGGUUUCAUUUAUGUUGUGAAAAAUAAGAUCGAUAAAUAAAACUUUUGGCUACAAUUAGCCACAGAAACAUAAAGUUGUGACAGGAAAAUAAAAGCUAACAGAUAAUUAACUAUACAGUUUGUAGGCAAAAUACCAAAUAGCCCAUAAUCAAGAUCACAACUCAAGCAGACAAUAAUGUGUAGUUUAUCAUUUCCAACCAAAUAAUUCAAUAAUACAUAAGGUCAAAUGGCCAAAUAAUAUGGCCUUUCACAUAAAUACUUGCUCCCUGAAUAUUUUGAACGAUAAUGUUAUCGUUUCUCUCCCACGUUUCACGAAGGUGUUGGAAUUUUUUGUCCUAAAACUCGUAGUUUGUAAAUCAUAUUCUGUUCAAUAAAGUUGUUAUUGAGAAAUUAAAUAUUAUAAUCUUAAAUCCAAUAAAUCAAGUUCCAAGACUAUUUUUGAAUAAACUUGAACUUUAUGUGUAAACAUAAACGUGGAUCAAGUUCGAGUAUAUAGCCUAAAUAGUCUAUAGUAUAUGAAAUAAAGGUUGGGCGCCUUAUUUAGAGAAACUAUGGAUGCGGCCCACUUUGUAGUACAAACGAGGUGAUCCUAAUCGUUCAUGUAGAGACAUGAAAGUGGGGACAUCCUAUGUAAAAUGUUUACAUAAGACUGAAUCAUGAAUUAGUCUUUUUUACGUUAUAACACCGUUUAUUGUUUAAAAUUGACUAUCUCAAUUAUUGAUGACCUUGGUAACUUAGUCUUAAUCCUGAGUUAACUAUGAAUUCCUGAUCACACGAGAUUAUCCUUAGAUCUGCAUAGGUGACGGUAGCUCAUCAGCGUUGGCCCAAAAGCCUCCCAUUUCAGGGGUAAGAUCGGGUGGAUAGCUGGGCACAUAGGGUACAAGAUGAAAUUCACUCCUACCCGCUUUAGGGUUAGUAAAUAGGUUGUUCUCUUAAGCACUGAAUCCAAGUCUUGAACAAGGGGCCCCACCCUCUCAUUGGCCCGAGAGGGAUUAAGUUUAUAGGUUCAACCUUAAACCAAUUGUUCAAUAGUGGAUUAGUGGGACUUAAGGAGGAAGAUGUAAUCUUGGGGGUAAAACGGUAUUUUGACCCAGCCAAGGUUACGAGCAACCUGUGAAGGAUUAACUUACUGAUUAUGGUUUUAUCAAAUGGACACAAAUAUAUCUAUAGUGAGGGGAGUGCAACUACGGGACUUUAGUGGAAUGACCCGUUAGUUAACGAAUGUUGAUUAACUCGGUUUAAAAGAGUUUAGCUAGUUAAUCUUGAAUCGUUUGAGCCCAUGAUCUAUAGGUCCAUUAGGUUCCUCUGCUAGCUCAUAUGGAUUAAACUUAGAACAGUGUGAUGAAAUAAGUCGAAUUGUUCGAAUUGGGAGAAGAAAGGGAAACCGACAAAUAUAGUGAUAUAGUCGUCGGUCUUCUAAUUAGAAAUAGAGCUUUAUGUUUUACAUACUAUAAGUAUGAAUGCGGAUUCAUACUAAGAAGCUCGGAAUUGAAGAAAUUGGUCAAAAAUAGUAAAAAGUCAAAAUAGUAAACUUUUGGCUUUGAAAAGUCAAACUUUGAUCGGCCUUAUAUUCAAAUGUAAUUUGAAUUUUGGAAAAAUGAAUGCGGAUUCAUGCUCGGGAGGUUAGAAUUAGUCAAGAUGGACAAAAUGAUAAAAGUCAAAAUAUUGACUUUUGACUAAGAAAAGUCAAAGUUUGACUUUUGACUAGAAAUAUCUAAUGACCAUUUUACCCUUGGACUAAGUUAGUGGGAAAAUCCAACAUUUUGUUGGAUAAUCCCACUAACUCUUAGUGGGAUAUGUGGCUAUAUGAGAUAUAGACACCUAGCCCACUAAGUUCCACUAAUUGUUAGUGGAACAUUAGGUGUUGAGAUUUGGCCAAUGAAUUGCAUGCAUUUUUGCAUGUAAUUAGGUUAUAAAUAGAGGUGUUUUCAAAUGUUGAAGGACUUUUGCCUCUUUUAUCAUUUUCAUCAUCUCAACCAAAGAAAAAAAAGGAAACCUUUCAAUCCCAUUUUAUCUCCAUUACUUUCUACACCAAAAUUGGGUCCCACAACCCGAUUCUUUGUCUAGAGGAUAGCAGUUGAGUACUAGUGGUGGUCUCGGUUAUAAUUGGUAAGAAGAUAUCAAACUUUUUUGAAAGCUUCAAAGUUAAUAUUUUCUAAAACCCUAAUUUGAUUAGUUUAUGGUUACAUGUUAAUUGUGGCAAUUAGGGUAGAAAUUCGAUUCUUUUUCUGCUGUGCAUAACUUAGUUCUAUCAAAAGGUACUUUAAGGUUUAGUGUUUAGAAUUUCAUGUGUCGGGGUUUUGGGGUUUUGGUGUUGGGAGUUUAGAGGUUUGGAGGCUGGGAGGUUGGAAGGUUUGAGGGGUUGGGGGUUGGGUUUAGUGGUCUCGGGGUUUUAGGGUUUGGGGGUUGAGGGUUGGGUUUAGGGGUUCUGGGUUUCGUUCGAGGUUUUGGGGUUUGGGGGUUGGGGGUUUGGGAGUUGGGGAUUGGAAGGUUUGGCAGUUGGGUUUAGGGGUUUUGGGUUUCGAGGUUCCAAGGUUUGUGGUUUUAGGGUUUUCGAUUUCGAGUUUAGGGUUCGAGGUUCAAGGUGCGAGGUACGAGGUUCAUGAUUCGAGAUUUGGAGUUAAGGGUACUUUAGGGUUUAGUGUUUAGGAUUUUAGGUUUGGAUUUCAGGAUUGGGGUUUGGGGUUCGGAGUUUGUGGUUUGGGGUACUUUGGGGUUUAUGGAUUAGGGGUUAAAGUUUAGGAUUUAUGGUUUACGGUUUUAGGUUUUUGAGGGUUUAAGGUUUAAGGUUUAAGGUGCAUGGAUCGGUUCGGGGUUCGUGAUUUCAAGAUUCGAGGUGUAGCGUUUGGAAUUUCAGGGUUUAGGGUUUAAGAUUUAGGUUAGAGUUAUAGGGUUGUGUGUUAUUAGAUUCUGAGACGAUGACCAAUAAUAAUCAAAGUUUGAUACCCAUAAUAAGAAGCUCAAUUUUUCAAACGAAUCGACAAUACAAAAUGAAUAGAUAUUCCUUAAAUAAUAGAAAUUGUUAUCUCCACCAGCAAAGUUUGGAGUUAGGAUUACAUGUUUCGAAUUUCGAGUUUCAGGGUUUUGGGGUUUUGGGGUUGGGGGUUGGGGUUUUGGAGGUUUAGGGGUUAGGGGUUAGGGGUUGGAAGGUUUGAGGGGUUGGGGGUUGGGUUUCGAGGUUCAGGCUUUUUGAGGUUUCGACGUUUUGGGGUUUUGGGGGUUGGGGGUUUAGGGUUUGGGGGAUGGGAGGUUGGAAGGUUUGGGGUUUGGGUUUAGGGGUUUUGGUUUCGAGGUUCAAACAUUUUAAGGUUUUGAGGUUUGUGGUUUUGGGGUUAUAGGUUUCGAAGUUCGAGGUUUGACAUUCGAGGUUCGAAUUUCAGGGUUCGGGUUUAGGGUUUGGGGUUAGAGGUUAAGGGUACUUUAGGGUUUAGUGUUUAGGAUUUUGGGUUUGGAUUUCGAGAUUGGGGAUUGGGGUUUGGGGUUUACGGUUUAGAGUUAAGUUAAAGUUUAGGAUUUAUGGUUUUAGGGGUUUAGGGUUUAGGGUACAUGGAUCGGUUCGGAGUUCGUGAUUUCAAGAUUCGGGGUGGAGCGUUUGGGGUUUCAUAGUCUAAGGUUUAGGUUAGAGUUAAAGGGUUGUGUGUUAUUAGAUUAUGAGACGAUGACCAAUAUUAAUCAAAGUUUGAUACCCAAAAUGCAUGUAAUUCGAAUCAUAAUAAGAAACUCAACAUUUCAAACCAAUCCAUAAUACAAAAUGCAUAGAUAUUCCCUAACUAAUAGAAAUUGUUAUCUCCACCAACAAAGUUUGAAGUUAGGAUUACAGGUUUCAGAUUUCGAGUUUCAGGGAUUAGGGGUUUUGUGGUUGGUGGUUGGGGGUUUGGAGGUUUGGAGGUUUGGGGGUUGGGUUUCGAGGUUUGUGGUUUUGAGGUUUUAGGUUUCGUGUUCAGGGUUCGAGGUGCGAGGUUCGAGGUUAGGGGUACUUUAGGGUUUAGUGUUUAGGAUUUUAGGGUUCUGGUUUCGAGAUUGGGGAGGGUUUCGGGUUCAAGGUUCGUGGUUUGGGGUACUUUAGGGUUUAUGGUUUAGGGGUUAAAGUUUAGGUUUUAUUGUCUACGGCUUUAGGUUUUUAGGGGUUUAAGGUUUAGUGUUUUAGGUUUCAGGGUUUAGGGUGCAUGGAUCGGGGUUCGUGAUUUCGAGUUUCUGGGUAGAGCGUUUGGGGUUUCAAGUUUUAGGUUUCGGGGUUUUGGGGUUUUUGGGUUUUUGGGUUUGGGGGUUGGGUUAGAGGUUUUAGGUUUCGAGGUUUAGACUUUUCGAGGUUUCGAGGUUUGUGGUUUUGGGGUUUCAGGUUUCGUGUUCGGGGUUCGAGGUUCAGGGUUUGGGGUUCGAGGACUAUAGAGGAUUGAGGCUAACCACCAAUCAGGAUGAAAAAUGAAAACAAAUUAUAUUAUAAACAUUCUCAAAUCUAAUCCGAUAUAAUAAUAAAAGUUUGAAAAAGUAGCACCACUCAACAAAUAAAAACAACAAAAUUUUGUGGGAAAUUGUCUGUAUGGCCAAAAACAAUAUUCCAAAAGUUCUUCAAUGCUAAAAAGAAAGAGGAUAAAGAAGAUAAUAAACAUUAAACUGGAGAGUAUCAUUUCCUAUACCAUCCAACGUGUAGCUAAUAGAGUGACGCAUCGGUAAGAGUAUAAAUAAAAUUGAAAACUAAGAGUGCUCAGUUUUACUUUGAUCGUGCAAAUGGUCUAUCUUUCUCGAGUUCUAACUCCAUAAGUUUAGCUUCUACUUCUCAGUUUUUAGCUAAGCCCAUGCCCCAUUCCAACUUUAUCUCCUGUGACCGGAGACCAGCAUCACAAGCAGCCACAGUGAGAUUUGAUAAAAGCAUUGAUAAGAACUAUAACUUCUGAGAAGUACAUAGUUUAAAGUAGAAUUUUAAUUAAAUCUUAACUCUUGAAUACCACCCUAAGACUUCAAUACUAUACUUUAAUUCAACCAACCACUAAUAAACAUAGAACAAGAAAUUGGAACAAGUCUGAAUUAUUAAUAUCACAAAGCCUAAAUAUUAGAAUUAUCAAUAUGAAAAAAGAUGAAACAAGUCUCAACUCAAGAUAGCUAGUUUUGAGAAGCUUUAAGUUUGUAGCUUUUCAACAUAGUCAACAAAACAUGAAGCAUACCUAAAGAAAGAGAAAGUCUCAUGCUAUUAAAUUAAUUGAAACCACAAGCAACAACAAAAAAAUUAGCUUGAUUAAACAAGUUCUUAAUAAUCUUUUGAUUGAGCCAAACAAGCUAAACCACACCAUUCAGACUAGUCAAAAGCAAACAACCCAAAUGCUGAAUUUCAUUAUGAUUCGUCCUAACAUGUAUAUAUAUCUAAACAUGAAACUAAAACUUCCCAAUUUUGCAUAAGCUUAAAAAAGACAUGAAUUUAAGAUAAUUAAAAAAGUUAUCUAAGGUACCCAAAGGAUCGCUUCUUUUUUUAAUAUUAUUAUUAUUGAAAAAGUUAACUACAGGAGGAACCUCUUCAAUAAAAAGUUCUGCACCAAGAUCACCUCUGACAACCAUUGCCUAAAAUGAAAAUAAAUAAUGUUCUUCAAUUAGCAACAAAGCCCCAGACUACCAACAAAAUUGAAAACCUUUGAAUGAAAUUUAACAUUAACGAAGCUAUAAAAAAAUUCAAACAAUUACCCCAUCAGAAGCUGUAAUAAUUGAAUGCAAAUUUGGUAUGGAGUAUACACUUUCUAUAUUUACAAUCACGUUAAUAUCAGCAUCACAGCCUGUAGAGUCAGAUAAGUUAAUAAGUUUGUAGUAGAACAGACUAGCAGAAAUGGCAGCAUCCAAAUUGUCUUUAUAAGCACAACAUAAAGAUCUGAAGCUAUUUACUCUUGAGGUAUUUCAACUCAUGAACUAGUUUGUUGUCAACUCCAAAUUUAAUAUCAUCCAAAUCCUUCUCAGCAAGAAGUAGACAACAAAUUCAUUGAGUCACAGACAAAAAAAUAAAUUUACUUAUAGAAAAAUCCCGAAAAGAAGAAACUUCACGAAAAGGUGAAAUCUAUAGGAUAUGCUUAUUCAAUCCAACCAAUAAUUGAAGGAAGUGUAGCACUUUUCCCUCGAACAUUUAAAUGUCUCAUGGACUUGAGCUCUCCUCCAUCAAUAACUUCACAUAAGACAGAAUCUUCUGUCUUAGACUUCACCAUCAACGACAUCAUUCCACCUCUAAUGGAUUUAAAUAGCCAAUGUUUGUGCAAGCCACGAGAUAAUUAGAAAAAAAGAAAGCACAUGCGAUGUAACAUACAUAAAAAAAUAAUAAUAAACAUUAUACAUCAUCUAAGAUAGCAACAAGGAAAUACUAAAGAACUUGGGCAUCACAUAGGUGUGGGUGUGGGAGGGAGAUCAAACCAUUUGCUAUAGUCAAUCCAUCCAGUGAAAAAAGUCAAUAUGUCGUUUCCCUUGGCUAAAACCAUUUGCUAUAAUCUGGCUCAUUUAGAACUUAUUUGAAAGUUCAUUGCUGUGAUAUAUAUAUAUAUAUAUAUAUAUAUAUAUAUAUAUAUAUAUAUAUAUAUGUCAUUUAUUAUAAUUUUACAUGGUCUCUAGGGUUUAGUUUAUUCUCUAUAUAAAUAUGUAACAUUGCUUUGACUCAAACAUAAUAAGACAGAUACUUCUCUGAAUUCUAGAUUACAUGGUAUCAGAGCCAUUAGGGUUUUGAAUGGCCAUUAGCUUCCUCCUCCAUUAGGUUCGAGUUUAGGUUACCUUCCGCUGACCAUUUGUCGACACCGCCCAUACCAUAAGAAGCACCACCUCCGUCCGCCCAAGUCUGUCUUCGCCGAUCGCCGGAAAACACCGCGUGUGACCUUCACGCACCACCGGAAUCAUCGUCGCCUUCACCCACGCAUCGGCGCGUGAGAAGUUUGAUUUGUCUUUCGUCUUCUGGGCUUGUCUCGAACCAUUGUUUCCUGUCAGUCUGUACCAUUGGGUCUAUCAAAUAACAUUUGGGUUUGACGAAAACUGAAGGUUACACGAUUGGUUUUGGGUCUUUUUCCAAUUUUGCAGCUGUUUGGAUCGAUUUUCUCUUUGUUCGUGUGGACUACAAUCAACGUGUGACUUCAAUAUGGCCGACAUAAAAAAUUUGGUAGUCUCCAACGUUAUUCCCUUGGCCUCUAAGAUCACAGAACAUAAGUUAAAUGGAUCCAAUUAUUACGAUUGGCGUCAAACAAUUUUAUUUUAUUUGAGAAGUACUGAUAUGGAUGAUCAAUAUGACUGAAGAUCCCCCAAAAGAUGCAAAGCAGAAGAAGGAUUGGCUUCGUGAUGAUGCCCGUUUAUAUCUUUAGAUCAAGAAUUCAAUUGAGAGUGAGAUAAUUGGAUUGGUUGAUUACUGUGAGUCUGUUAAAGAACUUUUAGAAUUUUUGGAUUUUCUAUACUCAGGUAAAGAGCAAGUGCUGAUAGAAUGUUUGAAGUUUGUAUGCAAUUUUUUCGUGCGGAACAGAAAGCUGAGUCUGUCACCAGCUACUUUAUGCGGCUUAAGAAGAUCAUUGCCGAGCUUGGCUUGUUGUUACCUUUAGUCUUGAUGUUAAAGUUCAACAAGUUCAACGAGAGAAGAUGGCUGUUAUGAUUUUCCUGAAUGGACUCUUACCUGAAUUUGGAAUGGCAAAGACACAGAUUCUCUCUGACUCCAAGAUUCCAUCAUUAGAUGAUGCCUUCACUCGAGUCCUUCGCAUUGAAAGCUCUCCGACUAGUGUGUCUAUUCCUCAACCCAGUAGUGCUCUCUUUUAGCAAGAACAAUAACCCUCGAGCACCUCAGAGGAAUAGUACUGAUCAUCGAAAACCAGAGUCUGUAGAGAUUGUUUUGUAACUACUGUCGUAAGCCAGGCCAUAUGAAACGUGAUUGUCGGAAAUUGCUAUAUAAGAAUAGUCAACGAUCUCAACAUGCUCAGAUAACCUCCACAUGUGAUAUACCAGAGGCGUCAGUUACUAUUUUUGCAAAUGAGUUUGCUAAGUUUCAGAAUUACCAAGAGUCAUUACAAGCGUCAUCUUCCUCUACUCCGAUUGCAUCCACUGUUACCCUAGGUAAUACAAAGUGUCUUCUUACAUCAUCUACCAAAUGGGUCAUAGACUCUGGUGCCAAAGCUCACAUGACAGGUAAUUCUCACCUAUUUUCUAGAUCGUUGUCCCCUGCCCCUUUUCCAUCGGUUACAUUGGUCGAUGGCUCCACAUCUUCUGCUCUUGGCUCUGGCACUAUUCACCUUACCCCAUCCUUUUCUCUCUCUUCUGUGUUACAUUUGCGUAACUUAUCCUUUAAUUUAAUUUCUACUAGUCAACUUACUCAUGACCUAAAUUGUGUUGUCAUGUUCUUUUCUGGUUAUUGCUUGUUUUAGGAUCGUGUGACGAAAAAGAUUAUUGGUAGAGGAUAUGAGUCAGGAGGUCUUUAUCUCUUUGAUCAUCAAGUAUCGCAAGCUGUGGCGUGUCCUGUCGUUCCCUCUCCUUUUGAAGUCCAUUGUCGUUUAGAUCAUCCAUCUUUGUUUGUGUUGAAGAAACUUUAUCCAGAAUUUAGGUCUUUGUCCUCUUUAAAUUGUGAUUUGUGUCAAUUUGCGAAAUUUCAUCGUCUUAGUUCGAGUCCUCGAGUCGAUAAACGAGGAAUUGCUGCAUUUGAGUUAGUUCAUACUGAUAUUUGGGGUCCAUGUCCAGUUGUAUCUCAAACAGGCUUUUGUUAUUUUGUUACUUUUGUUGACGAUCAUUCUCGUCUAACUUGGUUAUAUUUAAUGAAAAAUCGUUCUGAGUUAUUAUCUCAUUUUUGUGCCUUUCAUACUGAAAUAAACAACCAGUUUAUUGUCUCUAUCAAAACUUUGCGUACUGAUAAUGCAGGUGAAUAUUUUUCUCAUUCUCUUGGCUCUUACUUGUGUGAAAAUGGCAUUAUUUAUCAGUCUUCCUGUGCUGACACUCCAUCUCAAAAUGGUGUUGCAGAGCGAAAAAAAAGGCAUUUACUUGAAACUGCCCGUGCUUUAUCGUUUCAAAUGUAUGUUUCAAAAACCUUUUGUGUGGAUGCUGUCUCUACAGCUUGUUUUUUGAUUAAUCAGGAAGCUUCACAGAGCAAGGUAAAGCUUAAGAAUUCAGAGUUAGUUAAGAUCAAAACCAUAAUCAUACAACAAUCAACAACAAACAAAUCUCAUAUCUCAUCAAAUUUUUCAAAAAGAUAAAUAAAAGAAAACAAGUAAGAAUCAGACAAGCAAACAUACAAUGUCUAUUUUUCCAUUUGAAUUUUUCCUACAUCUGUUAAGUUCCAAAUAUGUUUUUGAGUCAUUGGAAAUUACUUUUUAUAUUACAAAAUCACUUUUAAAAGUAGACACAAACAAAGGUUAAUAUGGCUAAUGGAACAAUAACCUACAAAUUUUUAGGUACUCUACCCUACAAAUUAAAUUCACAAUUCUUGCAACAAUGCUUUUGACUUCAUUUAUAUCAAGAUAUUGAUGUCACACAAGUGAUACUAAUAACAAGAAACAAAACCAAGAAUCAAUAGUUUCAUCAUUUUUUCUUUUCUCUUGGGCAUUGCCGAUCUCAUUCUAAAGUGAUUUUCCUUAGCCAAAACAACAAUGAAAUCAAAUCACAGUUACUAUGAAAAUGUUAGUGUAAAGUACGAAGCAUUCUUCUUCAUUUUUGGGUUGAUCCAUUCUCCAUUGUACUCAAUGGAAAAUUAAAUUAAAAUUAUGGAACUGUUUCUUCAUCCAUUUCCAAUAAACCCAGUUAAAGAAAUCACUCAGAACAACAAAAAAAUGAUAAUAAAUAUAUAGCAACUUUGAACAAGAAAACAUGUUUUUGAAUUGAAUCUUUCCCUUAGCCAAUAUCAAAGUUUUAAUACAGUGGAAGAACACUUUUAACAAAACAUUUAUUAAUAAAAAUUAACUUUGUUAACUAGUUUCUAAAAACACUCUCAAAUAUGCCUUCCAUAACCUGGUUUAAGUUUUGAAGAAAAAUGACUAAUGGGCUGGGAUACUCAUGCCAUGGAGUGGCAAAAAAGAGGCUGAACUUUGUAUUUGAAGUAUCAUGUUGGUGAAGACAUGUAAAAGGUCUUAUGAACAUUUCAAUUUAACUCUUUUGUCUCUUGAGUACUAUAGCUUUAGACUAAUGAUUAUUUUCCAGUUUGUCUCUACACAAAAGACCAGUUUGUCCAUUUCUACUUUAAUUGUCAGCCUUCCAAGCUUGUCAAAUACAUCAGUUUUUAAGAUUUAUGUGCACCCCAUGUCAUUAAUCCCUUCCCAAGCUGAUUUUCCUUCGUAAAUAUAUAUUACAUUAACACUUAAACACACAUAUUUCAAAGAUUGAUUCCAAAACGAAAAUGAGAAAUGAAUGAAACUCAAAUCAAAAUUAGAGAAAUAGAGAGUGGAGGUGAAAAUAACCAGAAAAUUUACAAUAAUGCUAUGGAGGAAAAGAAGACAAGUGACUGAAGGAAAUGAGGACUCAGGGAAAAGACUCCUAUUGGAAGAAGGAACUAAGUUACCAUUUUGAAAUUCAAGAAAGAAACUGGUGGAUCUUGAAAUGGGUGUAUGUAUCUCUAUUAGCAACCCAAACUACUGUUUGAACAGAGAUUUUAUUAUACCAAAUGCUUAUGUAAUACUUGGAUGAAGAAGAUGAAGAUUUCAUGAGUAGAAAAAAAAAAAGAGAAAUAUGAAGGAAACAUAAAUGAUGUGGGGGGACACUGAAGAAACAGAUCCAAAAACAUGCAGUACUAUGAACUGCAAGAACAAGCAAUCUCUUAAGCUAGAAAAAGAAGAAACAUGAAAAACCAAGGAUGUAAUUAUCUAUACCUCAUCUGUAUGACGUAAAUCGUCGGGGAAGAAGGAAGAUGAGGACAAACCCUUCAAGUCCAAAACUUUAGACAGCAUGAUGGAACUGAAAAAGAACAAAUCCCAAAAUAAAGAAAGAAAACUCAAAGAAGCUCCAUAAAAAAGGACGCCAAAAAUUGCAACCCCACUCCUUCAGAAGGCAAUUCAAAAACUUCCCUGGAGCCUAUAAAAAUCUACAGGUCGAGCAAAACAUUUCAUGAGUAGAGAAAAAAUAAAAGAAAUCAAAUUACAAAACGAAGAAUCAUUUGUUAAACUAACUUAAACACCACAAUUCAUAUUUUUUUAGGGUUACCCAUUGUGCACACACCAAAUCAUUCUUAAGAGAUUUAAGUUUAACAGUAAAGACCAGAGAUGGAUCAAACUGUUACACCAUUGUUAAAAAGAAGAAAAGAAGGCCCAUAGAAAGGAAGCUAUUAAGGAAGAUAUUUCAUUGUUGGCAAAGAGCAUUGAAAGGCUGGGUGUGCAGGCUGGACAGCAACAGCAGCAACAACGAACUUUCAUGAAAUAUACUUAAGGAAUGAUUAAGGAAAGACAACAUGGGAAGAAGUUCCAGAAGGUUCGUCCAACAAGAAAGAAACUAUGAUUGAUGUCAGUGAUUCAUUUGUGAUGGGAGGAAAAUCGGAAGAAAAAUACACCAAGUUGGAAGGAGAAGAAUCUGCAGGGGAUCGAAGCAAAUUCAAGAAAAUUGACAUGCCAGUUUUCGCGGGUAUUGCCCGGAUUCUUGGUUAUUUAGAGUAGAACGUUAUUUUCAGAUACACAAACUUACUGAGCCAGAAGAAGAUGACGGUGAUAAUCAUUAGGUUUGAUGGUGCAGCCUUGGAUUGGUAUAGAUCUCAUGAAGACCGUGAACCGUUUGUUAAUUGGGAAGAUUUAAAGAGAAGACUUAUUAUUCGAUUUCGAUCAGACCGUGAGGGAUCAAUAUUGGGCAGAUUUUUAACGAUAAAACAAGACACUACAGUGGAUGAAUACAGAAUUUUUUUUGAUAAAUUGGUGGCACCUUUGCCUUUUCUGCAUAAGACAGUUAUAGAAGAGACAUUUAUGAAUGGUUUGAAACCUUGGAUUAAGACAAAAUUGGAAUGUUGGGAACGACUGUUGUUGGCUUGCUCAAAUGAUGAAAUUGGCCUAGAAAAUUGAGAACCGAGAGGUGAUAAGGGUGAAUCUGACUUAAAAUGUGCAGGGGAUGAUAAAACCCAAGUUUCUACUUCUUUAAAUACUCAAUUUCAUGUAGUUUCCAAUGACAAUAAGUCAGAAGGUACUGUUCCAGUAAGGGCUAUCACACUUCGAGGGGCUGCAGAAAUUAAUUGACGGGAAGGACCACCAAGACGACUUUUUUGUGAUGUUGAGUUUCAAGCCAGAUGUGAGAAAGGGAUCUGCUUUUGUUGUGAGGAAAAAUUUUGUGCAGGCCAUAGAUGUAAGGUGAAGGAUCAGAAGGAACUCAGAGUGUUAGUUGUUCAAGCAAAUGGGGAGGAAUUGGAAGUAGUGGAAGAGGAUGAUCGUAUAGAGGAACUUGAGGUAAAAGCUAUUGAACUUGGUAUAGAAUAAAAAGAACCAGUGAUAGAAUUGUCAUUAACUUCAUGGAACACCGGAUUAAAUGCGAUAUCAAGUGCUGCUUAAUUAUCACACCACAAUUUUGCUGGUGUGGUGAUUUCAAAUUCCAACUCAACAAUAGUCAAAAAGUUGAUAUAUCCAAAUCAAUUUGAUAUAUCCAAUUCACACAAAAAACUGUGCAAUUGCUCUAUAUUUUUUUAUUAUGCACUUGAAUGUGACACCACAUUUUGUUUCUUACUUUUCCAAGACAUCAAAUUGCCACCAAACAAAAACAAAAUAUCCUGAAGUUGAUCUUUCGUCUUCUUUAGAUUUUACCAAUUAACAUCUGAGAAAUAUUCAAUAUUAGUAUGACUAUAAUCCUUAUAUAAUAAAACCAUGCCCGAGAGCAGCCUUCAGAUAACACUGAAUCAUUCCAAAGCAGCUGAAUGAUCAACUUUAGGGCAUGACAUAUACUGGCUCAUAAUACUUACUAAAUAGGCUAUGUCGAGUUGAGUCACUGGAAGGUAAUUAAGUUUUUCCUCUAACCUCCUAUAUCUUUCAAGAUCUUUCAACAAUUCUCCAUCUUUUGUGAGCUAUAAGUUAGGCAUCGUUGGGGUACUACAUGGCUUAGCCCCUACCUUCCAUGUUUCAGUCAACAAGUCCAUAUUUUCUCGUGUGAUAAUAGUAUUGCUUUCUUGCCUGUUUUUACCUCAAAUUCCUAGGAGGUAUUUCAACAUGCCCAAAUCUUUUAUUUGGAAUUGGCAAUAGAGAAAAGUCUUCAAGGACUGGAUAUCUACAGAAUCAUCACCAACAACCACAGUUGCAUCAACAUAUACUACUAUUAGGAUCACCCCACUCUCGGAUCUUUUAAAAAAGUUCGAAUGAUCUAACGGGCUCUUUUGCAUUCCAAAACUUUCGAUCACCUUAAUAAAUUUGCCAAACCAAGCCCGUGGACUACGUUUUAGUCCAUCUAAAGAUUUACAAAGGCGACACGCCUUUCCAUUCUUCCCCUGAGCAACAAACCCUAGUGGUUGCUCCAUAUACACCCCUUCUUGAGGAUCACCAUGAAGAAAUGUUAGAAAUUAAUAAGCUAGAUACAUUAUGGAUAACACAUUAAUAGAUACAUUUCUAGUUUCAAGAUACAUAUGCAUUUCUAGAUACAUGUAAUUAUUCAAGUACAUGAAUGGUAUGUAUUCAUGUACUUCAUUUAUUUUGUGUCUUUUAGGAAGUGUCUCUUGAAUACUAUAUAUAGAGAUCAUUUCCUUCAUUUGUAUACAAGAAAAAAGAAUCAAAUCAAUAGAAGCAAAUUGAGUUUCAAGAGAACAACAUUCUUCUCUUGUGUGUUAUUGAGUUUUCUAAGAGAACAAAUUUCUUCUCUUAAAAGUUUGUGAGAUUUAGAGUAAAUUUAGAGUGGGCUCGUCAACGCCUCCAACAAGAAAUGUGUAAGGACCCUAGAUAGAAAAAUAGUGGAUUAUUAGGAAAGAUGGAAGAAGACUCGACCGCAGUUGAGAGAGGACUUGGGAGCAAGCACUUAAAAUGGGCUGCUAAUUGCAAACUUGAGGUGGAUGAGAGGGAGAAACUCCAUGGACAUGGGAGCAUAUGCAGAAAUGGAUUGUGGAUUGCAAGGCAGAAAGAAUACAGAGGAGUGCUCAAACAAUACAUCAAAAGCUUUCUGAAGGGCUGCAAAGAGAUAAAGAAAGAGCGGAGAAGAAACUAGAAGAAAUUAAAGUUGAAGAAAAACAGAAAUGGAACAAUGACUUAAAGAUGAAGGAAUCGAAGAACGACCAUGAAAAAGAUGAAGGAGGAGGAAGCCAAAUCUAACUGUGUAUUCCCAUGGCCGACAACUAAGGGUGAGGUGGUCGGAGACAAACACUUGGUGGAAAUGGAAACACCGAACAGAGAAGGCGGAAGCAUGGGAAAGGAGGCAAACACUAUGGAUGAGAAGGAAGGCAAAGAAACGAUUGAGGAAGCGAUCAUUGAUACUUGGUGGUAGUGAAGAAAACAAAAAGAAGAAUCAAACAGUACAUGUGUGGAACAAGUCGACCUGGAUACGAUCUGUGAAAAUAGAAGAAACGACUCAUUGGAGUGGCAGUAUUGAGAGGCUGAUCAUAUAUAUAGGCCAAGAUUUUGUUGAGGUACGUUACUUUCCUUGCCUUUCUUUUGUGGCGUGCGAGUUAUAUCAAAGUAGGGAAGGGAUGAGGAAGCUAGGCAAUGAAGAAGAUGAACAAAGGAAUUUCGAAGGACAUCGAAGUAAGAUAGAAUGGGUAACGACAAGGAAGAAAAUGGCAAUGGAAUUAGUACAGGAUCACAGAAGAGGCUGGCGAAUGGAAACAUAUUGGGUCGUGACAGAAAAUCGAGGCGGGAUGAAUAGAAACCGCGGCGGAGGAAAGAUUCUGAGUCGGUCACCAGUGGCCAGAAAAAGAAGAAGAUGGAUUGUCGAAAAGUCCAGUUACAGGAAGAGGAGAUGGAGACAGGGUGCGUUGGAGCUAGUCGACCUAAGCCACAAAGGGAGUUUGUCGGAACGCGAAUAGCAACGAAGCUGCAAGUGAGAUCGGAAAUUGUCGGGAAGAAUGCUUUGAUAUUUGCAGAGGAGUGAGCAGCUACGGACAAAAAAAAUUCAGAAAGGAGGGGAAGAUUUCUUGAAGAAAAACGAUUCUUCAACCCACGUGAAGCGUCAGACGUUAGGGCGAAAAAUUAGAGACAGUAGUAGUUAUGAUUUGUUUAAUGGGCUGAAAUUAAAUGAAAAGGCCCAGAUUUUCUCAAAUGAGCUUGGCCUAGUGGAGAAAUUGGGGAUCAAAUUCCUAAUAAAUGUCCAGGAAAACAAAGUGGAGGCUAGGAGAAGGAUUGGCACAUGCAAACCUCAAUGGUUAAAGUAUAUCACGUGGGAUGGCAAAUAGGGAAAGAAUUUAAUCAAAAGUGGGCCAAAAUGUUGCUUUUUGGGCUGAUUGCAAAAGUAAGGGAUGAGGCCCAUUAUACCUCAAAAAAAAAUAAAUUGAUGGCUUUAUCUAAGGAAGUGGAAAUCCUAUUGGAAUAUGGAUGGUGGGCCAAACAUGAGAUGAUAAACAAAGAAAUACAGCCUUCAUAAAGAAAGAAAGGAAAUUAAUGGGCUUGAAUUUGCUAAAUUCAUUGAGACCCAUUUGUUAGUGUGGCUGAAAGUAACUUGAAACUGGAUCGAAAUUGCCUGAAGCUCAUUGGUAAUUUUAAGAAAGAUGGUGUAUGGGCCGUGAAAUUGAUUUGGGGAUGGGGUUAUAAAGUUAAUUGUGGGCUUAGCCCAUUAGAGAGGAAGAGCUUCAAAUUAAAAUGCAAGUGGCAUGGAAUUAGGCUCAGGAAAUGGCAGUUGGUUAAUUGGGAUCACUUUCCGUGUGAGAAGAAUGAAGAUUGGGGAAGUUCUUGGAGUCUAAAGGGUUGGAUGCAUGCAAAUGUAAUUAUUACAACGCAAUAGAAUUUCAAGGUAAAGCUGAAUAAAAUUUCUUCCAAGAAGGCAGGGGUAUGGUAGAGAGUUCAAGGUUUGUAGGUCGUAAGCACACCUUGAGGACAAUGUGUCUUCGAAGGGCGGAGUAAUGUAAGGACCCUAGAUAGAAAAAUAGUGGAUUAUUAGGAGAAAAUGAAAAUGGUUGUUAGUAAGGUCAUAUUAGUAAAUAGAUGGGUUAGGUCUUUUUGUUAUAAAUAGUAGGAGAGGGGUUGGGGAGAGGUGUGAAGAAUUUUGAGAAAGUUUUCCUUGUAAGGGAACCUUGGGAGAGUCUAACCCUCUCGAAAGGCUAGGGUUACUUGUUACUUGUUAUUAAGAUCUAAUAUAUAUUUCAUGUGUAGAUGUUUUUUAAGUAUUCUUGAGUUCAUCUUUUCUUCUUGAGGUAAUCCUUGUUAGGUGGGAUCCUAACAAAUUGGUAUCAGAGCCGUAACAUCUUGAGAAUGACACGGGCUUGGAUGCAAAAACAAAUGGAGGAGAGGAAUUGGAGAAGAAUAAGGACAUUAGGGAACUUAAAGAUGUAACUUUGGAGUUGUCCAAAAGCAUCGAAAGACUGGCAGAGGAAUUACGAGAAACCAAAGUUAGUUGCCAACGGGAAGAAUCUGCUACAUCGUAGGGAUCAGUGUUGAAAAUGAACGGAAAGAUGGAAGAUGACUCGACCGCAGUUGAGAGAGGAACUUGGGAGCAAGCACUUAAAUGGGCUGCUAAUUGCAAACUUGAGGUGGAUGAGAGGGGAGAAACUCCAUGGACAUGGGAGCAUAUGCAGAAAUGGAUUGUGGAUUGCAAGGCAGAAAGAAUACAGAGGAGUGCUAAAACAAUACAUCAAAAGCUUUCUGAAGGGCUGCAAAGAGAUAAAGAAAGAGCGGAGAAGAAACUAGAAGAAAUUAAAGUUUAAGUAUUCUUGAGUUCAUCUUUUCUUCUUGAGGUAAUCCUUAUUAGGUGGGAUCCUAACAAAAUGCACUUUUAAUAUCAAGCUGAUGUAAAAAAGUUGGAAACAAAUAUUGAACCUCUCCUCUCCUCUCACCCACCCUCUUCUCUCUUCAUUCCGGCCACACCUUCUCACGGUGACGUCGACGGCAACGCCAAACCCAGGGAGUUACAACUCCAUCUUUUUCAGAAAUGGAAGUCAAAAGUUGAAAAAUGGUAGACACUUUCUACUGUAUCUAGUUCGAAAAGGGGAGGUUCAAUAUUGAAGAUGUAGACUUCCAAAAAAUCCUCACUUUAUCCAAGAUCCAAUUAGAGUGGUUCAUUGAUUCAAUAGAUGUUCUUGUAAAAGAACCAAACUGGAAGUUUUUCAACAAAUAUGCGAGUGAUGAAACCGAAACAACAAAGCUAUCCAAAUUCUGAACCCCAUCUGAUUGGUUUCUGAGGUGUGUUGCUCGAAACUUCUCUGGAAUACAAUCCUUCAUCCAUCUACUCAUGAGAAACCAGACAAGGUUGGGUCUCCUUCCUCAACAUGAUCAGGUCCUUUUUAUUGACUCAUAAUUACACCUCCUUUUCAAAAAUAUCAAGCUGAUGUAAAGGCCAGUGACUGAUUGAAGUUAGUGAAAUAAACAACCUCACAAAUGUCAUUUUUACUACUCGAGAAAAAGUAUCAGCAUAGUUAACGCCAUGUUUGUGCGUAGCCUUUCACUACAAGGUGUACUUUUAAUUGAGCGACAAAACCAUCAGGAUUAACUUUAAUUGUAACCACCCAUUUGCAACUGAUAUACUUUUUUCGUGCAGGGAGAGAAACUAAAUCCCAAGUACAAUUAUCAUCUAAAGUAAUCAUCUCCUCCACCAUUGCAACACACCAACCAAGAUGAGAAUAGGCUUAAUGAUACAAACUCUAAUGAUGCAAUGAAAGAACAUGCAGAAGACAACUAAUGGUUAUAUGAAACAGAAGAGGAAAUAAGAUGAGCACACUUAAGUUUACCUUUACGAAGAGCAAUAGGAAGAUCAUCACUCAUUUCUGGAUCCAAUGACGAAGAAGCCUUAGGGGUAGGGCAUGGAAUUGAAGAAGGUUGUCGUCGAUCAUAGACUUCAGUGAUGGGUUGACAAAUAGAAGUAAACACACGUGAAGAUGAACCACAAAGAGGAUUAGAAGGAGAGAUAACAUUGUAGAUAAAGAAAUCAUCCUUUGACUCUUGAUACUCCCUCGACUCAUAUUCGAAGAGAAAGAAGGUGAGGAAUAAAAGGAGGAAUGUUCAAAGAACACGAGAAUAACCAAAAAGAUAUAUUUUAAGGUCUUUGGAUCCAACUUUGUAUGUUGAGGCCGAACGUCUUGGACAAAUCAAGUAUAACCAAUUAUUUUGGGUGGAAUGAGAAACAAAUGUUGUUUGGGGCAUAAGAUACAAAAAGGUAUCUCACCCUUAAAAAUGGAAGAGGGCAUGCAAUUUGUUAAGAAACGGGCUAUGGAAACAUCAGCCCAAAAAGAAAUUGGAAAAUUCAUUUGAAACAUUAGGACUAGUGGUUUAAAAAGGAUGACGAUUCUUUCAUUUUGCAAACCCACUGACUUCAUGAAAUUAAUAAAUAGAAGUGUGAAAGUAACAUAGACAUGAAUAUAUAAGCUAGAGCAAAGGCAUGACUACUAUACCUGACUACCAUUACAUAGCGCUAAAAGAAAUUGUAAUUUUCUUUUUCAUUCAAUAUGUAAUUUGACGUAAUAGUAAUAGUAAUUCCUCUUUCAAACAACCACUUUUUUUUUUCAACAAAGAGGACAAGGCUUAUGAUCCCUAAAUCGUUAGCAAUUAAGAUGCAGCAAAUAAGGUAGCUAAGAUGCAGAAAAUAAGAAAACACCCCAAAUCACUACAGUGCAUAAGAAAUCUAUCACAUAAGCACAAAGAUAAAUACUGAGAGUAUUAGUUGAAACUUAGCAAACACAAACAGGGCAAACUAUUAUUUAACGUGCUAGUUUAAAUAUAUAUCUAAACUAAACUACACAAGUAUUUCAAACUGGCAAAACUAAAAUUAGGUUUAUAGAAACAACGUGUCCUCAUCCUUUCUCCUAAGGAAUGCUAUUCAUUAUGAUUUUAUCUUUUGAGUUUUAAAAAUAUGCUAUUUAUUAUUCAUAUCUUUUCUCGUGCUAUCUAGAAGCUAACCAAACAACAUAGAGAAAGUACAUUUGUAUCACUAAUCAAUAUUUGAAAUGAUGACGCAGAUUAAAUAAUACAGAAUUCAGAAAGUAGAACUUGCCUGCUAGCUGACUUCAGCUGCUCCCUGAGUUCCUUGAACUUGAGGUUUCUCAUGUUCUCAACAGUGAAAACAAAAACUGAGUUGUAAUUUUCCACACCCUGCCUGAUCGAUUCCACCAUUGAUUUCUUGUGGUCCCUUCCUUUUCUUCUUUGUUUUUGAUAAAGUAACUGCAUUUAUCCCACGAACAAUUAGAUAGAAGACUUAAAACACUAAUCUGCAUAGGACUAAGUUCAUAUUUUUCCUCUUUAAAACACUAAUCUGCAUAGGACUAAGUUCACAUUUUCCCUCUUUCUUUUUAAGUUAAAAACCACAUGAGUUUGACAAUGAUUACUACCACCACAAGUCAUUUAACUUCUUCAACUGCCUCAUACUUUUCACAAGAAACUGCGUCAUACAAAUUAACCCAUAAUAAAGCUAUCCAAAUUCCGAACCCCAUCUGAUUGGUUUCUGAAAUCAGUAACUCUCAUGGAAGGAAAAACUUGGACAGACUGAUGCAGAAAUUGAGAAUGAAAGUUAGAAAAAGAUUAAUUGCUAUAGAAAAAAAUGAUUCUUGUACUAGAAUCGUUGUUCCCUGCCAUUCUCGAAACAGCCUGAAUAGUCAUGUUAAGAACACCGAGCCCUGCACUAAAGUUGAAAGAGGGGAAAAAACAGCAUGUUGAAACAAAUGAAGGUUAAACCAAAAGGAUUGAACUAUAGUUUCCAAAGUUUUCAUCUCUUAUAUUCACGUAAUAGUAAUAGUAAUAGUAAUUCCUCUUUCAAACAACCACUUUUGUUUCAACAAAGAGGACAAGGCUUAUGAUCCCUAAAUCGUUAGCAGUAUUGCUAUUUGGAGAAAAUGUUAAAGUUAAACAGCUGACAAUACCUUCCAGCCCCUACCACUACUAUCUUUUGGUUAACAAAAUCACUCAAUGGCCGCCCUUGAGCUCUCACAGUUCCCAAUAGUCCAACGAGAGCAACACCAGCAGUUCCCUUUAUGAAAUGAAAUAAACGAAAACGAAUGUCCUUUUAAGUAAUUAUCAACUGCAUUAAUACAUCAUCAACUACUCACUUGUAUGUCAUCGUUGAACAUGCAGAACCUCUUACGAUAACGUUGUAAUGUUUCAAAAGGCCAUUUCAUUUGAAAAUCCUCAAACUGGCAUCAUUCAAAAUCAAAUUACGAGAUUACGAUACUGAUUACUGGCAGUGAACACAGUUAAAAAUUUGAUAUCUUAACCAAUAAACCUGAACAAUAGCUUUAGGCCAACAUGUAUGCACGGCUUCCAUAAAAUCAUCAACAAUUGAUAGAUACUCUUCUCCCUCCAAUCUAGGUAUUCCUAUUCCCUGAACUCCAAGGUCACCGAGGCCAAGAAUACGACUUCCAUCUGUCAAGACAAUCAUGUCAACCUGUAGUUGGAAGAAGAAAAUACAAUGAACUUCAAAUAUGGUGUUGCUGGAAAUUAAAAGAGAUUUUCAUUUUUAUUUUGCUCAAAAUCAAUGCUCUUGAGCUUUUAAUGUCCCGAGGAAUGUGAAAGUUUCCCAAUAUAUCGUGUAUGGAAGUUUAAACUUUUCAAAGAAAACAAGGGUGAUCAACAUACAAAAGCCUCCUGUGGAUAGAAAAUUAAUCAAACAAAAAUUCGAUUGUUCUGUAGCAGUUUGACUUUGUUGUUAAGGAAAUUAAGAGUGAUAAGAAGGCGAGGGAGUGACUUUGAGUGGUGGCCAUUCGACAGCCAAGCAACUACACUCAAAGUUGAAGGUCGAAUAGGCAGCAGGAAGAAACGAAGAAGAAGAAGAAGAAAAGUUUUCGAUCUAUCAAACAUGAUCAUCAUACAAUAGACGAAAGUCAUUUAAAUUAUCCAAAUAUCUUUUGAAGUAAUUUUAACAUUUUCAAAAUAACUCUUAAUCAUGCUCUAAAUAUGGAAUGAAUUGUCUAUCCAACUACAAAUACAAAAGUUUUUCUAAAUCACUCUAACUAAUUAUACAAAUUCCACAACACAUAGAUCACAUGCUUCCCAAGAACCCAUAAAAUUGUUCAAUGCGGCAUUUCAUCAAACAGUUGGUGGAUGGAGACAACAAAAACAAGUGUUUAACAAAAUUAUCUUAGAAACAAACACAUUAAUAUUACCUGAAGAUGGAACUCCAAUUGAACAGCCUUGAAAAAGUGAUGGAGAAACAAACAGAACAUAAAGAUUGUGGGACUCCUCAACUCCAAUAAAUCCUGCAAUGGAAAAAUGGGUUAGAAGGUGGAAAAGCAUAGUAGAGGAUUAUGAUAAUGAAAAUGGGUAGUAAUGUUUUUCAGUAGCUAUCUUUUUCUUCUUUUUUUUUUCAUGUUGUUGAUGGUUGUUCUUGAUUGUCUUUUUUUUUUUUUUUUUUUCCUUUUUUGCAUUUGGGAAAAAACAGUUUGUUGACUAAGAGGUGAUGAUGCUGGUGAGGGAAUUUAUUAAAGUAAUGAAUACUUUUUGGAGGACUUAAACAAGUAAAAGGACGAAAUGAAGCAAGCUCAAGCAACAAAUUUUCUGUUAAGUAAGCAUAAAUAUUAACUAGAGGCUUAAAUAAAAUAUUUCACCACCACACACCACACACAACAACAAAAGAACCCAGAUAUAUCGUCAUUGACAACAGAAACAGAGCAAUAUAAGCAAAAUACAUUACAAGGAAAAUAUGGAGAUAAAAGACAUGAAGGUUUCCCUUUCACUUACAAAGAGGAUCAUUAAGUAACUUCUCGUUGUUAGAACCAAUAUCUAGCAUUACUCGAAGAAUCUGUCAAUUAAACAAGAGUAAACUUAAUGAAAAAGUGUGGUUAAGAAAAGUUGCUAAAAAAUGUCACCAUUAAAUGAUAUUAGUAUUCUUAGAUAAUCUACAAAUUUCAUGAAGAAAAGACUGCAGACUUGAGAGUUACCCCCACUAUCAGGAAUACUUGCUGAAACGGGAAAAAGAUAUCGGCAAAUUCUAAAUACGGCACACUAAAACUCUCACUCUCCUGGUUCUUGCUUAAAAUCACAUGUACAUGUCAAUGCUGAUAGUGCCUCUUCCACUGAAACAAACAAAAUUUCAGUACCAAUUAAGAUGCAAAAAUAAGGUAUUUAAGAUGCAGAAAAUAAGGUAGUUAAGAUGCAGAAAAUAAGGAAACACCCCACAUCACUACAGUGCAUAACAAAUCUAUCACAUAAGCACAAAGAUAAAUACUGAGAGUAUUAGUUGAAACUUAGCAAACACAAAAAGGACAUAAGCUUAUUCUCAAAUUUCAGUACAUAUACUCAUCAAAAUUCAGAAUCUCACGUCACAAACCCGAGCUUAGUGCUCAAGGGUUGACAGUCAUGCCUUUUAUGCAAGAUCUAAGAAGCUAUGAUGCUCAUUAUUGUAAUGAAAAACUUUUGAAAAAUUUUGAAAUUUGGACAAAAUUUGAAAUCCCC